rnacentral:lncRNA from 1 species
UGAAUAACCAUGCAAAUGUGUUUGGUACUCUUAGUGUUCCAAAUCACCUAAUCAAUGUGCUGGUUAAGCACACAUGCUCCGUUGAUCUAUGAUUAACAUCAAGCUACCCUUUGCUACUCUUGGCAGUCCCAAAAUAGUGUCCUGGUUAACCACACACGCUCCACUAACGACUUAGCAAGGUGCAAAGUGCAAUUUCAUGGAAUAGCACCAUAUUCACAAUUUUCCUAAAGUAACUAAGAUUAGGAGUUUAUUAAAGUUUAGUUACAUUAUAAUUAUCAUUAUACUUAUAACGAGAAUUAAUGUCCUAUCCUACCCGUUCGGCUAACGACCCUCCACCAGUCAAGGAAGUGGUGGGUGAGAGUGGACACCUAUUAAACCACCAUUUUAUAGGUAGUAACAUUAUACCCCCUUAUAGACCGGCAUCGUGAAUGAGGCCUACUAACGGUCAGACUGACUUGUCUUAUUGUCUUAUAUUUAUAUAUAUAUANNNNNNNNNNNNNNNNNNNNNNNNNAUAUAUAUAUAUAACUUUUAAUAUUAUAAUAGUAUAAGGGUUGAAUUUUAAACUUUUUAAAUUCAAAGGUUUGGAAUUAAAUGUUUCAUUAGUGAGACUUUAUAGAUUCCAAAACUUGAGGGCAAGUUUUGUAACUUUCAAAACUUUUGGUUUCCAUAACUUAUGAAAAUUUAUGAGUUUUAAUGUUCAUGAAUGAGACUCUUCACAUAACUUGAGUACAAGUUACAACAACUGAUUUUAAGAACAAUUUUAGAUCAAUUUUAACUAAGAACGUUAUCAUAUAAUUUCACUAUUGAUCUAAUCUAAUUCAUAGCAAGGCAACUCAUAUCAAAUAAUACAAAUAAUAUCUUUAUUAUCUUCAAAUUUGAUAAUUGUCCUUUAAUUAGAUGAUGAUCAUCAUUACCAAAUCAGAAAACACAUUUUUUAUGAUACAAAACAUUUUGUGGUAGUGACCCUAAACCAAUUAUGGCCAAAAACUUGAAAUUCUGCAACCAGUAGCCUCAACUCCACGAGUGCAUGAACUGGACUCGUUGAGUUGCCCUUUUACUGAAUGGACUCGUCGAUUCAACUAGUGGACUUGGCGAGUUUAUCAGUAAGAGGCUAGGAAAUCGAUUUUUCAACUUUGAAAUAUAGCAAGCAUCAAAUAUAACAGAAAACAAUCCUAGGCUCUCAUACCACUGUUAGGUUUUAAGCACUAUAACACUCCUAUGCUGCACAUGCAACGCUAGAUGCUUUAGAUCUAUGUUUUCUCUAGUUAUACAUGCAUUUUCGAAUUUCCAAAGCAUACAUCCUAACUAGCAUACAAUACAGGAUAUAAAAUAGAAAACUCAUAGUUUGACGAAUACCUCUUAUUUAGUUUGAAGUUCUUGGCCUUUGAAUGCUUUAGCACCUCAAGUGUGAUGCCUUUAAUGUGUCAUAAACACCAAAUUCAAGAGGAGACUUGAGAGAAUAGGCUAGUUAGCUCAAAAUCAAUUAUCAAACUCUUAGAAUGAUGGGGCCACCGAUUUUGGCUCUAGGGGUGUCCUUUUAUAGUGUUACAAAUGCUAGGGUUACAUCCAUGCAAUCCCUAAUGCACCAUGACUAUUCAUAUUACUUAGGCUCCAUGGGUUAAACCUCCAUGGACUAUCCAUGUUUGUUUAACCCAUCCUAAUUAAGCAUGGAUCUUUGGCCUAUAAUAUAAGAAUCAUUGAUUUACUUAAUUAGUCCCCGUAUAUUUAAUUAGUCUCUUUUGAUCACAAAUUAAUUUCAAAUUAAUUCUUGAUCAAUACUAAUUAAAUAAUAUGUUUUCUCAAUUAAUAUAUUAUACUUAUAAUGUAUUAAUAAAUCAUAAAUGACCUUAUUCUAAAAAGUCCAUCUUGUCAAAUUGCACUGGUGAAGGGAACCCAUAAGGACCAUGCUACAAUGGGGUCAAGUACAUCCGAGGUAUAGUUAUGGGCUUAGACACCUAUUCCAACAUUAUACCCCUCUUGUUAGUUUAUAUUCAUAGUUUUGAAAGUAGGUUUCCAUAAUAGUAGGGUGCAUGUACAGUUAAGGUUAUUAUUAAUUGCUUUUGUUGCCAAAAUUUAGUGUACAGAUGCAUAAACAACCCAAUAGUAGUAUUAAAUCCAUUACUUUUUAGUUAGGGAAAAUGACACAUACGCCUAUGAACUUUCUAGGGUUUACCCUUUUAGGCACUUAACUUUUUAAGUGGCUUUAUGAGGAAACGAAGUGUGUUGAAACCUAGCAAUUUAGUCCUUAUUAUUUAUUAUACCCGGUAACCCUGGCAAAACAUCCCCGUUUGACACAUCAUCGAUGACAUGGCGAAAUCGUAAUUACGUCCAAUGACCUAAAUUAAGUCGUUUUGGAAUGUGAAAUAUAGAGGGCAAGAUCCAACUAUUCCCCCCACCUCCAUAUUAAACUAGAAGAUUGUAACAAAAAAUGGCAUAAUUCGAAACCUGGUUACCCUAACUACACCCUUAACCAAUUUCCAAAACCAUGCCUUCACGAUCAUCUCCAAAUCAAAGUUGGUCACCCACCCAUAGCCGGCACAUGGCUAAGAGUGUCUCCAAUGGAGUGACCAAUGAACACAUGGUGAUCAAUAUGCUCCAGACACAAUUGGAGGUGUCGCUUGUGAGGGAAGAUAUUGCAAACAACCAUCAUGAACAACGACGCAACAUCACUAGAAAGUUGGAUGCCCUAAACCAUGAAGUCGAUAAUGUUAGGGCAGGUCAACUCGAUCUGUCUAACAUGGUUGCUGAUUUAAUGAAGCAUUUGUGUUCACUACAAGCAUCAUAUGCCAACAUCGAAUUGGGUAAAAACAACUGUAACAAAUUCAAAUGGGUUGUUGUUGAUGUUGUGGGGUUGUUAACCUACAAGUUCUUAAAAUGACUGAAGAACUUUAGGCUACAACAUUUAUGUCGUGGGUUUGUAUUUUGUUACGAUGUAUAUCAGGUUUAUUGUCCUUAUUAGUACACUACAAGAAAAACGCGAUUUUGCUAGGGAAGGUCGCUAUGAAACAUAUUUUUGUUGUUAAUCUAGAAUGGAUCAUGCUAUAGAUUGUCGUUCGAUAGCAAUGUUGCUACCACAUUGUCUACGGAUUUUAUUUCUGGUAGUGAGAAUGGGACUUCCUAGGGAAAAUGCUACCGACUCCAUAUCUGUUGGUAUUAUGCUACUAAUAGUUCUAUGGAAUAAAAAUUUGUAGCAAUUUUCCAAUGACAUUUAUUACCAAAUCACUUUCCGUUAUACUGCUGCUAUGGAAUUCAUUAUCGUGGUUACUAUGCGACGAAGUUUGAAACAGAAACCAAUUCCAUCGUUGAAUUGCUACGGAAGUACCAUUCGUAGGUAUUUGCUAGGGAAUUCUGCUAUGGAAUAUGCUUUCGUUUGCUUGUUUUGGUAUGGAACAAAAUGUGUAGCUAAUUUGUGACGACAUUUGUUGGGAUGUUGUAUGUUUAAUUAAUCUUCUUAUACUAUGGAUGAAUUAUUACUAUGAUCAAUGGAAUUUGUAAGAUAUGAUUUGAAUGAAAUGUUUUUGAAUUUGUAAUAUGUGUCAUAAACUAAUGGCUAAACAAUGUAAAAAUGAAUUAUAAAGUAGAUAUUCUGGCAAGCAGACUCGAACUUAAGCCUAUGCUAGAAAAGGGUACGGUUAAGCCAGUUGUGCUAACCAAGUUGUGUAUAAUUUCUUAAAAACAUAGUAUAUAAUGAAUAAUUGACAACGAAUUCAUUACAAACUUAUUUUUAAUUACAUUUACCGGACAUGUUAAACUAUAUGAUCUAUGUAGAUUAUUUUCCUUAAUAAUGAAUUCAUUACAAACUAAUUUUUAAUACAUUAACUAUACUUCAUCAGUAAAAUAGCAUGGGUUUUACGUAUACUUCAUCCUACUCAAACAACAUAUCAGGCAAAAAUGACUAAAAUGCCCUUUUAACAGAAUGAUGUAAACUCAAAACCAAAAUAAAAUUAUAGUAGUACUAUACAACUUCAUAUACAAUAUAAUAAGAACACUAAUAUUCAAUGUCCAAUCUAUUAUCAACCAUUAAUAUUUUUAAGAAAUAUACAAAAGCUACCAUACUCUUCAUACCAACGACAAACCGUGCAAUGUCGUUGUCGAUCCUCAUCUUCUUCAUGGCCUAUUGCCAAUGCACCUUUAAGUGAAUGACGUGGGUCUUCACAUUGGAAUGCGAUGUUGUUCUUUGUAAGUCUAUGAACAACAUCAAUAGCCCGCAACAACUCUUUGGCACUAUCAACAACACCCGUGUACUCCCUGUCAUCCGGAACUGCCCAACCAAAAUAGGCAUCAAGUAAUUGUGAACCUACAUAUUAAAAUAUCCAUAAAUUAAUCCAAUGUACUCUUUUCAAUAUAACCGUAAAUAUUAUACAACACAACACAACUAAAUACUAACACUAAACUACAAACAUGCCUUAAUUAACUAUAUAUACAAUUUAAUUUACAUAUCAUUAUCAUUUCAUUAUAUACUUAUAAAGGAAGCAUUUUUCCUUUUAUCACAUUCAUUUGAAACUCCCAUUCAUUUUCCUUUCACCAUAUUCAUUUGAAACUCACAUGACUUUUUAAUUUCUUUCUAAUAAUCAUUAUAAGUUGGUUAAUAAGGUUAAAUAAAUAUAAAACCUAAAGUGUAAUCAUAUCUAAACUAUAUUUUCAAUAUUAAAAAAAAUAUAUUUUCUUCUACUUAUAAAGUUAUGUUUUUAACUUUUAACAUAUUAUACUAAAUUUAUUAGGUCUAAUAUGUUGCUUUAUGUAAACCAUUAUCAUUUCAAAGCUACAACUUUUGAACAAUUUGUAUAAAAUACUUAAAUUGUUAAUUUAAAUAUAACCUUACAGGAUCAACUUAAAUAUAAAUUUUAGUUCAACUUAAACAACCUAGAGAAUAUUUUGUAAACAGUUAAUAGUGUUAAAUUGUAGUGUCUUUCUAAUAAUUAUUAUAAGUUGGUUAAUAAGUUUAAACAAGUAUCAAACCUAAAGUGUAAUCAUAAAUAAACUAAAAUUCAAUAUUAAAAUAAUAUUUUUAUUUCUACUUAGAAAGUCAUGUCUUUAACUUUUAACAUAUUAUACUUAACUUAGUAGAUUUAAUAUGGUGUUGUAUAUAACCAUUAUCAGUUUAAAGCUACAACUUUCGAAAUGUUUGGACAAAAUACUGAAAAUGUUAAUUUAAAUAUAACAUUACAGGGUAAACUUCAGUAUAAAUUUCAGUUCCACUUAAAAAACUCAAAAAAUAUUUUAUGAAUAGUUAAAAAUAAUAAAUUGUAGUGCUAAAUGCAAAAACAAAAUUGUAAUAUCAAUUUAACUAAAAUAUUUUGUAAAGAUAUUUUUAUAAUCAUUAAAAAUUUUCAAAUAAUAGCUUAAAAAUAACUUACAGUAACAAUAGUUAAAAAUAACUCUACAUAAAUGAUUAUAUUGUUACCUUUAAAAUAAAAAAUAAAAAUUGUUUGAUGUUUUAAAUAAUUUAAAUGAUAGAAAUUAAAAAGUUAAGCAAAUAAAUUUUAAAAAAUUAAUUAACCAUAAAAACAACUAUAAAUAACAUUAAACCAUAUAUGCAUAUAUUAUCAUAUAAUUAAAAAUAAUCAAUCUAUUAUAUCAAUUUAGUAUACGAAUUAUUGUAUAUAAUUUAACAACAACAUUAUUGUUAUAUUUAAAAAAACGUAUAUUUGUAAAGAUUUCAGCUAUAUAGAUGCUUCUGCGCAACACACGGACAUUCGUGUAGUAUACCAUAUAUACAUACCUUCAUCACAUUGAUGAGGCCCUCUUGAAAUGUAGAUCAUCCCAAACAAAUAAAUUGCCUCAAGAUAAUCUUCAUCUGCUUCUUGUCUCAAUAAAGUCAAUCCUAAAUCAAAAUUGCCGUAAUAAAAGCACUCAUCCUGUUGACAGAAUAACAAUAUCAAUAUAUAACGUCAAUGACACUAAAUAUUAAUAAAUGGUAUAGAUUACAUAUAAUUACUGAAACUACACAUACAAUUCCUUAUCUGAACAUGGCUUCAAUGUUAUUAUGUAAUGCACAUGUCCGUAUAAAUAAAUCAACUUUCAGAUUUUUGGGGCCCAUUCCUUCAAAAAUGUCAAUGCAUGUUGUUCUGUACACUUGAGGAUCACCCCCGGAGUCAUACAUCUUCUUUGAACUUUAAAAAUUUAAAUACAAAAUAAAUAAAAAAUAAAUAAAGUUGUAUUUCAUCAAAUAUAUAUUCAUUAGUUGAUGUUUAUUGAGAAUUACCAAAGUCUUGCAGAGACGAUGUCUUUCAAAGAUUCUGACCAUAAUACUACAAAUAUAUAACUCAAAAUCUCUAGUGGGAGAUCAUCUAACGAACGACGUGUUCUAGUAUUCGACAUUCUACUUACAAAAUACACAUUGGAGCAGUUGAUUUCAUUUUUUUUUAAAUUAAACGUAACUAAGAAAGACAGUGUAGCAGGGUAUGGAAAAAAACAUACAUUAAGCUAAUCUGGUCGAGAGGAGUACUUGAGUGUCUAUUAUUGGAGGAAAUCGUUUUUGAGAACGAUUAUCCUUCGAGGAUUUAGGGGUGUUCGUGUUGUACGCCGAUUUAUCGUCUGAAAAAGUUGAGAUGUUCUAAAUGGUUGAAAAACUAUCAUUCUAAAGUAAAAAAGUUUACUGUUAAAAUCUUGUUCCACUUUUAAUAUAUAUAUAUAUAUAUANNNNNNNNNNNNNNNNNNNNNNNNNNNNNNNNNNNNNNNNNNNNNNNNNNNNNNNNNNNNNNNNNNNNNNNNNNNNNNNNNNNNNNNNNNNNNNNNNNNNNNNNNNNNNNNNNNNNNNNNNNNNNNNNNNNNNNNNNNNNNNNNNNNNNNNNNNNNNNNNNNNNNNNNNNNNNNNNNNNNNNNNNNNNNNNNNNNNNNNNNNNNNNNNNNNNNNNNNNNNNNNNNNNNNNNNNNNNNNNNNNNNNNNNNNNNNNNNNCAUAAUGUAAUACAUUUAUAUUAACAUUUCACCAAAUUACUAGUAUAUAUUCAUGUAUAUAUAUAUAUAUAUUAAAAGUGGAACAAGAUUUUAACAGUAAACUUUUUUACUUUAGAUUUUAGACACAAUAGUUUUUUUUGUUGCCACUUUUAGUCCCUAUGUUUAUAGUAAUUUUUUUUACUUUGAUUUUAGCCACACUACUUUUUCUUUGUUGCCACUUUUAGUCCCUAUGUUUAUUCCUUUACAAUUUACCCCGUGCAAAGCAUAGGUUCUCCACUAGUUGAUAUUAAACCAAAUUACGAAAUCCAAAAUAAAAUACAUCUAUGUUUAUGUCUUUACAAUUGUAGUUUAUAUGUAUUUAAUAUUAGGAAAGAACAAACAUUUCCUACAUACAACUAUAAUCACAAUACAAUAUAAACACUAAUAUUGAAAGUCCAAAACACAUUAUUCAAACACUAUUUAAACAUCAUUCAAAGAUCAUUCCAAACUUUUACUCUUUUAGUCCCUUAUUAACAGCAACACAUAUUUACUAAUCAAGUAACAACAUCAACUAAUUACUUAUCAAGUAAAUUACUAUAUAUUCGUAUAUUAAACCUAAUGAAUGUACAUAGCAUUAAUUGUCAUAAUAUGAAAGUAUAUAUCAACAAACUACUCAUAAAUUAUACCAAACUCCCUAGAAAACCUAACGAAACAAGCAUCCCACAAACAAAUUUCACACAUAAACACUCAUUUGUAUCCAUUCACAAAAGCGUCUGACGCACUAAUUACAGACUUAUGCAAUGCACAAGAUCUAUGGAAGCCAUAGAAGUGUACAUGUUUCCUCCCCUACCUAUUUAAUUUGAGAUGAACCUUAGAACAAGUUGCUCUAAGAUUCCACUUACCUUUUGCUCUGCGGUUAGCAUUGUUCAACAUGUCAAAAGCUUCCUGCUUCCUAUGUCUCCCUUCAUCCAUCAACAUCAUUCCCAGGACAAAUGUUGAAUCCAAAUGUCCCAAUGCAGAUGCUUCUUCAAGCAUCGUUUUCCCUUCAUGUUCAACUUCUAUGAAAAAUAACUUCAUGUGAAAAAAACAUUAAACACAUAAUUUCUAGUUAAAGUUUUGCAAAACAAGAAACAUAUUAAUUACUACUAUUUAUAUAUAUAUAACAAUGUUCCAAUCCAUUAUGAAUAGAAUAUUUGGGUUUCUUAUCUCUAUGCAUUUUUUGACAACUGCAUGUUUCUGGUCAGACCAACUACGAAAUCGAAAUCCAUCUAACUCCAUAUGUUUAUAUACUUCAUCCGUUUUUCCUGCCUCGUUGAAGAAUCUGUAACUACAAUCGAAACACAAUAUUCACUCCAUAAUGUAAAGACAAUUCAAAUAAACUUGUGAAAUAGAAUGAUCGAAACAAAACAUACACACUCUUCAUCCUGAAAGCCUCAACUGCUGAAAUUUUUGCUAAGUCGACUAUUAUUUUCUACAUCACUUCAAAUGGCAUGUCUGUUACCGAUUUCCUUUGAUUUCUUGAUUGAAUUUUAGAAGAAGAAUUGGCUUCCAUAAUAAUAAACAUUCACUAAGAUAACGAUUUUGCGAAAACGAUUUUAGUGUUUUUUCACUAUCGAAAUUUUGAAAUUGGGGUUGUUUGCAAGUGACUGAAAUAAGAGUGAAGAACUGAGACAACGUGUUCCGUCGGAAAAGAUUAUGAUGCCUAGAAGAUGUUCCAUUAUAAAAUGACUAAAUUGUCCUAAUACAUACAAUGACUCGUAUUUAAAUAGUAAGUGUAGUUUUGUCAAAAGUCAUAAUUAAAUGAAAUAUCAAUUUCUUUUUUAAUGAAGGUUGUAAAAAUCACUCGGCGGUAGCUCGACGAUCGACUGGCGAUAAUCGAGUAAUCGGACUUGGCGGGGAUUAAUCGGGGACCCUAAAUUAUUAAUAAAAUUAUUUAAAAAAUUAAUAUUUCCAACAAAAUUAAGUAUCUGAAAAUUUUAAAUUUUAAUACACAACCACCACAAAUGAUAUAUGUUGACCAAUGACCCAUAUGUCAUCCAUGGGUGAUACCAUCACACCAUAAGCAACAACCAUGUUCACCAAUGACCCGUAUGUCAUCCAUGGGUGAUACCAUCACACCACAAGUAACUACCAUGUUAACCAAUGGCCGUAUGUCAUCCAUGAACACCAUAAGCAAAUACCAUGUUCACCAGUGACCCAUAUGUCAUCCAUGGUGGUACCUUCACACCAUAAGCAACUAUCAUGUUGACUAAUGACCCGUAUGUCAUCCAUGGACACCAUAAGCAACUACCAUGUUGGCCAAUGACUCGUAUGUCAUCCAUGGACACCAUAAGCAACUACCAUGUUGACCAAUGACAUGUAUGUCAUCCAUGGAGACCAUAAGCAAAUACCAUGCAGUCAAAUGACCCAUAUGUCAUCCAUGGGUGAUACCAUCACACCAUAAGAAACUACCAUGUUUACCAAUGACUCGUAUGUCAUCAAUGGACACGAUAAGAAAAUACUAUGUUGAAAAAUGGCCCAUAUGUCAUCCAUGUAUGAUACAAUCACACCAUAAGCAACUACCAUGUUGACCAAUGACCCGUAUGUUAUCUAUGGACACCAUAAGCAACUAACAUGUUCACCAAUGACCUGUAUGUCAACCAUGGGCACCAUAAGCAUCCACCAUGUUGAACAAUGACCCUUAUUUCAUCGAUGGACACCAUAAGAAAAUACCAUGUUGACCAAUUGUUACACCCCAAAACCGAUAACGGCGUAAUACGUUCCAGGGUGGAGGACGUCAUGUACAGUAUCAUCAUAAUUACAUAUUAGUAAAAACAAGAAACCACAACCAUUUCAUUAACAUAGUGAGUUUAAUUACAAGCGUGUUCUAUAAAGUUUCAAUAGACACCAAAAUAUGACAAAAAUAAGAGAUGGAUCUUGUAUGGUCCAUCUUCUCCAAAAUGCUACACCUGUACCUGUCUAUAUUUGACCUGAGGAUACAAGUUAUUUUGAAAACGAGUAUCAGCAUAAAGCUGGUGAGUUCAUAAGUAUUUAACGUGGUUGAGGUAUAAAAUUUGUUAAAACUUAUAGUGUGAAAAGAUGCAAUUUGCUUUUAUAAGUAGUAGAAAAUCCUAGAAAAUCCUAUAUUUUCCAGAAAGUAUAUCGUAAGUGAAAUCCUUUGAGCUGCGUGUAAACUUUAUCAUUGAAAACUUUUAGUUGUAAAAGCAUAGUAGUAAAUCUCAAGUAUGUAGUAUAGAUAAGGAAAAGUUAUGCCUGUUGUCAGCAAUAGUUGUGCAAACUUCCAUUAGUAAUAGAUACUUACUUACUUCGGAAUGUUAACUUAGACUUUAGUCUUAGUGUAUUAAUAUGGAUAUAAGUGUAUUCCUUUUUAUGUGACCAAUAGUGUGAGAAAUAUAGAGCCCGAUGACCUUCCCAGUCAUACGUAGAUUAGUGAAGUAGUGCCACCCUUGAGCCUGGUCGGCUCGGACUGUAGUUAACAGUCGGGAUAUAAUAGUGUCUACCCCGUAUAGAUCUAUAUAUGUAGUGUCGCCUUCCUUCCGGAAAGCUCUGGUCACAGGAUGUAAGCGCGAUAGAGUGUCUUAUAGAGGGAUAGUGUGUUAUACUCUAGAUUAGUGUUUUAUCUUGUAUUAUAGAGUAGUAGUCCUUUGUAUAGUUCAUAGAGCGUUCUCUUAUACAUGUACCAUCUUGUUAUAAUAAUAGUUAUAGUGUGUUUAGUAGUAGCAGUAACGAGGAGUAGUAGCCUUAACUAUACAUAUUCUAGUUAACUUAGUGUGUAUGGUUCUCGGCAUUUGUAUAACAAAGGUAUUGAAUAUGAUGAAGACUUUCAUAUCUAACACCAAUAUACAUGAUAUAUAACUAAGAAAUCAACGACAGUCGGACGGAUAACAGAUACCCUAAGACCACAUCAAACAAGAACAGGAAAUAAGGCGAGCUAUCGGUCCUAAGUCCUUCAAGUCUUACUUAUAUAAAUAUAUUAAUGUAGAUACACUUUUUUUUAUAAGAAAAGUAACUUAAACACAGUUUGAAAAUAAUUUAAUAACAAUUUAACAAAAAAGAUGCAUUUAGAUAUUUUCUGAAAAUGGUUUUGUUCUCAAAAAAGUUUAAAAAUGUAGAGAUCUUUUGUAAAGCAUAGUGAUAAAUCACAUGUGAUUUGUACUAUGAAUUGUAAAUCACAUGUGAUUGAUUUCCAUAAAUUGUACAUUAGACUUGUAUCCCCCCCUAAAACAUGUAAAAACAGUUGAAAAGGUUCAUUAAGGGGUAUGAACUCACCUGAAAUGAGUAAAUCGGGUGAAUGUGUCGGAUGAGCGUUUGGUGUCAAGUAAGGACUUGUACACCCUUUAUGACCCUAAUAACAUAUGAGAUAUACGUUUUACAAGUAAUUAGUGACUUAUACACUUAUUAAAACAUUUAGCUACUCAAAUGUGAUUAAAGGUCUUAUGCUUGAGUGUUAGAAGGUUAAUGACUUAUACGGAAGGAGUGUAUGACCUCACCUUGGAGUUUACUCUCGUAAAACCCACCCUAAGUGACUUUACGGUUGGGAUGCCACACCCCCAUGAGCUUACGACCGUAAACUCAUGGGAGGAGUGUUUUUGAAUGAUUUCAAGUCUCAAGUGGUUCUAGAAAUGGUUCUAAGGGAUUUUAAAAGGCUAUAGGGGUGUUUAGGGGUCUAAGAGUAUACUCCCUUGGAGUUUACGGCCCAUAGGCCACUCCUUUGGAAUUUAUUGUCGUAAACCCUAUGGUUUAUGGUAGUAAACUCUCAUACACCUCGUUCCUUGAUUUCUAGGCCUUUGGUUUGAUUUCUAACAAAUUCUAGUAAAGGUUAUAAGGCCUUUUAGUGGUUUAAACUCCCAUUUUUCAUGACUUAGGGGUGUUUUAACGGCCUAAGCACAUGCUUGGGCCAUGAAGUCUAUUUUACCCUUCAAAUGUAUGUGUUUUAGUGUUCCAAGUCCAAAAUGGCAAGUCCUUAAUUCAUAUCUUAAGUCUAAGGGUGGUUUGGAUGUGUUUUUGGACAUUUUUGCUUGGUUAGAGGGUGUUUACGGCCUAAGCAUGUGCUUGGGCCGUAAACCCUCUUUUAUACCCUAAAAAUUAUUGUUUUGAGGUUUAAACACUCCUAGGUAAAUUCCUCAACUAGUAUCUAAGCUCAAAAGAAGGAAAAUCGGGACAUUUGGCACCAUUUUAGGUGUUUACGGCCUAAGGAGGUUCUUAGGCUAUGAACUCCUUUUUGAUGGCCAUUUUGUGUGAUCUUUGAGCUAAUGCAACAAUAAAUGAUGUUUAGAACAAGUUAGGGUAGAAGAUCUUACGUUUUGGAGGCGGAAACUUGCGGUUUUGAGUCGAAAACGAGCUAGAGAGAGAGAGUAGAGAGAGAGAGUGGAUCUAGAGUGGUAAAGAGUUCUAGGAAGUAUUCCACCUUCUUUAUAUAGGUCUCGGGUGUUGCACCCGGUAUACGACUACCCGAUGCUAAAGCUUAACGAGGUUUAAACUUUUUACCGGAGUUAAAUGGUCGUAAUAAUAUAACUUUAUCCCAUUAAAAUGGAAAUGAAAUUUACAAGUUAUAUUUAUUUUGUUAUGACUAUAAUCACAUAACAUAUAAAUAAUUAUAAAUAAAUAAAUAAACAUUUAUUUAUUUGAAGAUCCCAAAUUUUAACGGAACUUUUAUAAAAUGACAUAUUCUGUUAGUGGAAACGGUUUCAUAUAACGAAAUGAACUUUGGGUUGUCACAUCAUCCCCCCGUUAAGGGAAUUUCGUCCCGAAAUUUAGAAUCCGAAUAGUUAAGUUAUUACAGAACUACUAAGCGAAGAGAUGGGGAUAUUUGAGUUUCAUUUGAUCCUCGCGCUCCCAAGUGAAUUACGGUCCUCAUUUGGCGUUCCAUUGAAUCUUCACAAUUGGGAUGCAGCUUUGUUUUGUACGUUUUACUUCUCGGUCGAUAUUCUCCGCAGGCUCUUCCACGAAGUUGAGGUUCUCAUUAACUUCGAUAUCGUCGAACAGAAUGACGAGAGUCUCGUCAGACAGGCAUUUCUUCAAGUUUGAGACGUGGAAAGUAGGAUGUAUGUUACUUAGCUCGUGGGGUAGGUUGAGUUUGUUAGCUAUGGGGCCGAUUCUAGCAGGAAUCUCAAAAGGCCCUAUAUACCUUGGGUUCAGCUUUCCACGCUUUCCGAAGGGUACCGUGCCCUUCCAGGGUGAGACCUUCAGAAGGACUUGGUCUCCCACAUGGAAUUCCAAGGGUUUUCUAUGUUUGUCUGCGUAGCUUUUCUGUCGAUCCCUGGCGGCUUUUAAUCGUUCGCGUAUCUGUACAAUCUUCUCGGUCGUUUCUCGAAUGAUCACCGGACCCGUGAGAGUGCUGUUAGGAACUCGUCCUUUAGCUAACUGAGUGUCACCCACCUCAGCGCAGCACGGAGGGGAUCUGCACUUCUGGCUGUAGAGGGCUUCGAAUGGAGCUGCCUUGAUGCUCGUAUGAUAACUAUUGUUGUAGUAAAACUCCACAAGAGGCAGGUGUGUAUCCCACGAUUUACCAAAGUCAAUCACACAGGCUCACAACAUAUCUUCCAAGGUUUGGAUCAUCCUCUCACUUUGUCCGUCAGUCUGCGGAUGGUAGGCUGUACUCAUGUCCAGCCUCGUCCCUAACGCCUUUUGUAGUGAUUGCCAAAAUCUCGAAGUAAACCUACUAUCUCUAUCCGAGAUAAUAGAUAUGGGGACGCCAUGCAGCCGUACUAUUUCCUUAAGGUAUGUUCUCGUGAGUUUCUCCAUCUUGUCUGUUUCCUUGAUGGGUAGGACGUCCGCAGACUUGGUCAAUCUGUCGACGAUGACCCAAGUGGUAUCCAAUCCACCCGUUGUCUUGGGCAGCUUGGUUAUGAAAUCCAUUGUGAUCCGCUCCCACUUCCAUUCCGGUAUCUCCAGUUGUUGGAGAGGACCCGAUGGCUUCUGGUAUUCGACCUUAACCUUUACGCAAGUAAGGCACUUACUCACGAAGGUAGCAAUCUCUGCUUUCAUAUUAGGCCACCAGUAUAGCUUUUUGAGAUCCGGAUACAUCUUAUCCGAACCUGGGUGAACGGAGUAUCAAGUGUUAUGUGCUUCCUUCAUGACCAGGUCUCUGAAACCUCCGUGGCGCGGAGUCCAGAUUCGGUCCAUGAGAUAGUAGGCUUCGUCAUGCUUGACCUCCAAACUCUUAUCCAUUCCACACAGGGAUUCUCCCGUCACAUUCUCUGGAUUUAAGGCUUCGACCUGAGCCUCCUUAAUCUGUGCGGAUAGAUGCGAAUGGAUAGUUAUCGUUAACAACUUGGCUCUUCGACCAAAAUACUCUUUUCUACUUAGGGCGUCUGCUACCAUAUUGGCUUUCCCCGGGUGAUAACGAAUUUCGCAGUCGUAAUCGUUCAGUAGUUCGACCCAUCGACGUUGUCUCAUGUUGAUCUCUUUCUGGAUCAAUAUGUGCUGGAGGCUUUUAUGAUCAGUGUAUAUUAUGCUCUUCGUUCCAUACAAGUAAUGUCUCCAGAUUUUUAGAGCGAAGACGACCGCCUCUAACUCGAGGUCAUGAGUAGUGUAGUUUACCUCAUGUGUCUUUAGUUGUCUUGAGGCAUAGGCAAUGACCUUACCUCGUUGCAUCAAGUCACAUCCGAGCCCUUAGUUCGAUGCAUCGCAGUAUACCACUGUCCCUUCGGGAAGGGAUAAUACUGGUGCGGUGCAUAGAGCUCGCUUCAGGGUCUUGAAUGCCUUCUCCUAUUUCUCUUCCCAGUCGAAUGUCACGCCCUUCUGUGUCAACAUGGUGAGAGGUUUCGCAAUCUGAGAGAAGAAUAAAUCUGCGGUAGUAGCCAGCGAGAGCUAGAAAUUGACGAAUUUCUGUAGGCGUCUUCGGUGCUGACCAGUUUUCCAUAGCUUUAAUCUUGGAUGGGUCCACGUGGAUUCCUUCUUCACUAACCACGUGUCCUAAGAAUUCAACUCUUCGGAUCCGAAAUUCGCACUUAGAGAACUUCGCAUAUAACUUCUCUGAUUGUAGCGUUUCUAGGAUUCUUCGUAGAUGAUUCAUGUGUUCUUCCUCGCUCCGAGAGUAGACGAGUAUAUCGUCAAUGAAAACGAUGACGAACUGAUCUAAGUAUCGACGACACACCCUAUUCAUCAAGUCCAUGAACACUGCGGGUGUGUUAGUCAGUCCAAAGGGCAUCACUACGAACUCAUAGUGCCUGUAAUGGGUUCGGAAGGCUGUCUUCGGGACAUCCUCCUGUAACACCCGUAACUGGUGGUACCCGGACCUAAGAUCAAUCUUGGAAAAGUAACUCGCUCCUUGUAGUUGGUCAAAUAGGUCGUCGAUACGGGGGAGAGGGUAGCGAUUUUUGACCGUGAGUUUGAAGAGUUCCUUAUAAUCGAUGCACAUACGAAAUGAUCCGUCGUUCUUCUUUACGAACAAGACCGGAGCUCCCCAAGGUGAGAAGCUCGGUCUUAUAAAGCCCUUGCUGAGCAGCUCAUUAAGUUGACCGGAUAGUUCUUGCAUCUCGACAGGCGCUAAACGAUAAGGUGACUUAGCUAUGGAGGUAGCUCAUGGGACUAGGUCGAUUCUGAACUCAACCUGACGUUUGGGAGGUAGAGCCGGAAGGUCCUCGGGGAAGACAUCAGGGAAAUCGCAUACGACGGGGAUGUCUUUUGGAUCUUUUGCUUUCUAGCUUGUGUCAACGACGUGUGCUAGGAAGGUGCGAUAUUCUUUAUGCAAGUAUUUCUGGUUCGAAUACUGGAGAUGAUACGAAGGCUCGUACCGGGUUUGUCUCCAUAGAUCAAUAGAGUUUCAUGAUUCGGUGGAUUAAGGCGAAUGGCUUUGUCGAAGCAUAGGAUAUCGACGCGAUGAAGACUCAACCAGUCCAUGCCAACGAUGACAUUGAAAUUCUUGAUUGAGACUGGUAUGAGGUCGAUUGGAAAUGAGUGGUCGUCUAACGUCAGGGUACAACCUAUGUAGAUUUCGUUAGAGCUUUCGGUCUUCCCGUUAGCCAUUUCUUAGACGAAUGUUUCUUUUAGUGGUUGCGGGGAUUGUUUAAGUAAGUGUUUAAAGUUUUGGUUUAUGAAGCUUCUUUCUGCACCACUAUCGAAUAAGACAAAGGCAUAAGAGUUGUUGAGAAGAAACGUACCCGUGACUACUGUGGGAUCCGCCACUGCUUCGUUGUGACCAAUAGCGAGUAGUCUUCCCGUUCCUCCUGCAUUCGUAGCCUUCGGACAGUUUUCUUGAAAUGGCCAGCUUCACUGCAACCAUAACAAGUCUGGGUCACUCCCGAACCAGGAACUUGCGAGAUAGGUUUGGGUAGGGCUCUGCAAAAUCGGAUUAUAUGGCCCUUCCGGCCGCAGUUGGAGCAUUGCAAUUCACGGCAUGGGCCGUUGUGGUGGAAGGGGCACUUGGGACACUUGGGCAGGUUCCCAACAUAAGCCUUUGUCGGUACAAGAGUAGCAGGAGUGGUGGCAGCAUGGACAGCCACGAUUUGUUGGUUUUUGGAAGAAGAUCGAGUCCUUUUGUCCUUCUUCCGAUCCCCACGCUUCCUUUUGUUAUCCGAUGAGUUGGGUGGCGCGGUGGUAUUUGCCGGGGUUGUUGCUGGUGUGGAAGAAACCUCUUGAUUGAUUAAACUCUGGGCCAAUUCCUUGGCGCUGUCAAAGGUUGUAGGGCGUGAAGCUAGAACGUUUCCUCGAUAUGGGGGCAUUAAACCCCAAAUGUAUCGCUUGAUCUUCUUACUCUCCAAAGGGAUCAUGUUGGGACACAUAGCCGCCAAGUCGCAGAACCUGGCGGUGUAAGCUGCUAUGUCGGUCCCUGUCAUCUUGAGGUUCCAGAGUUCCUCCUCAAGUUUCUGAAUUUCACCCCUAGGGCAGUACUCCGCCCUCAUGAGGUCCUUUAGUGUGUCCCAGCCCAUGGCGUUGGUUGUUACCAAAGAGAGUGCAUUGACAUGGCCGUUCCACCAUGUCAGUGCCCUGUUAGUGAGGGUGGCAGUACCGUACUUAAUUUUGCUCUCCUCAGGGCAUGAGCACAUUUCAAAAACAGCCUCAGUUCUUUCAAACCACUGAGACAAUGCUAGGAUUCCUCUGGUCCCAUCGAAGAAAGUAGGUUUGCAGUUCAUGAAGUCCUUAUAAGUGCAUCCCUGCACUCUGUGAUGGACUUCACCAAAUCUAGAGUUGCCACCGCUUGCAUUUCCAGAGUUCAUUUGAGCCAUGGCUGCAGUUACAGCUUCAGUCACAGCUGUUUGAAACAACAUUGGAUUGAACUGCGGAGGAGGAGGUGGUGGAGGAGGGGUUUGAUUUGCUGGUCUACCUCUGUUUGGACGCUUGCGUGGAGGCAUCUUUCACUGAAAGUUCAUAGAAAUGAUAGCAAUAGUAAGAGUCUAUUACUAAUAUGAUAAGGGUGUUUUAUGGACUAAAUCAACAUAAUCCAAAGAUCAGAAAGAGAGUCAUAGCAAUAGAGUAGUUAACUGCCAAUUCACUGGUAUUAAUGAUGUAAUGCAAGUUCGUGAAAAGUGACCUAAUAGUAGGUCUUACAUCAAACGAUAAGGAAAAUGUUGGCAGUCUAGAGGCCUAAUUAGGGUACUUUCAAAGCUAGAAAUGUUUACAGACAAGUGCUCUCCGGAGCAUAGAAAGGAAAGGCUAGUUCUUAACAAAAGGGUGAUGUAAUUAGACAUCCUCUACGGGCGACGGGUACUCGUUGGGCGGACCCUCAGAUCAGCUAGUUGACACAUAACUUCCUGGAGAUAUCGUUCGUGAGUCCUUUGACGUGCUUGGAGUUCCCUAAGUUCGGCUCGGGAUGCAGCUAGUUGUUGUUGCAGAGCCUCGUUGGUCCUCCUUUUCCUAUCCAUAGCUUCUUCAAGUUAGCGGAUGCGAACAGUGUUGAGAUUCGAGUUGGCAUCCACUUCUACAACUCGGCCAAUGGCUGCUUGACCCUGUUCGACAUUCCUGGAAAUCCUUCGGACCAUGAUGGGCAGAACUCGGUCCGCUGAUCCUCCCUUGCUUAUGUUGUAGAAGCUUCGGUCUCCAUUGUAAGGUAAAGGCUGGCCCUGCUCCUCGCUCCAUUGGCUCAAGGAUAUUGCCCACAUGGGAGUGGGACCCUGAAAUGCCUGACGGGGGUUGGGUUUGGGAGCUUCAGGGGGUAGGUUGUUAACUUCUGGCUCGGAGCUGGAGCUAUCCGAAAAACCUUCAGCAUGAUGAUCAUCCAAAGGGAUCGGGUGAUCAUCGUCUGACUCCUCGUCGAGCCAUCCUCCAUUGCUCUGGUUUGGAUAAUACGGAUCGUCGGGAUGAUGGAAGCCAGCCGUGCUAUCUACGCGAGAAAAGGGGGGAGGAAAGUUAAUAGACGUACUAAUCUAGGAUACUUAUAAGAUGAAUCGUUAUUAGUCGACCCAAUACUUGCGUAGUGCAUACCAAUUAAAUGUAACCGAAGCAGGAUAGUCCUUCGAAUAAGCAACCCUAACUUCAGAUCCCCAAUCAAACAAGAACAUGAAAUGAAGCAAAGGCCACAGAUUCUGAGUCUAUGGCGCCCUAGUCACUUGUAACCGUGGUGUAUCCACUUAGCAACUAUUGUCCUACCAGUAACGACCCUUUUAGUUUAUCACGUAUACAGUUAGUGGUAUCCAGAAUACUCCUGUAGUAUUCUUGUUCUAACGUUCUUGUGGUAGUGUUGGUAAGUUUUUAGACUUGUUGCAACACCACAAUCACCCUUAGGCACAUGCUAGUCACUCCUGGAUAAAUGUAGUUGAUCAGGCUACAUCCCCCCAGAUGUCACCAUAUGUCUCUAAGCUUUAUUGUGUUGUUCAACAAUCUUAAUACUUUUGUUUUGUUCUAGUAUGAUACUGAUCCUUUUGUAGUAGUGAGUGUAUAUAUAUACUUAAUUUAAUCUUUUAGUAUUUAGAAGUAUAUAUUCUUGGUCAGAGUGUUUUAGUCCGAAGUGUUUAUAGUUCAUAUAUCUUUUAUAGGUUGAUAUACUUGAUUCACUAUAAACAAUGCUCUGAUACCAAUCUGUCACACCCCAAAAUCAAUAAUGGCAGAAUACGUUCCGGGGUGGAGGACGUCAUGUAUAGUAUCAUCACAAUUGCAUAAUAGUAAAAACAAGAAACCACAACCAUUUCAUUUACAUAGUGAGUUUAAUUACAAGCGUGUUCUGUAAAGUUUCAAAAUGCUACACCUGUACCUGUCUAUCUUUGACCUGAGGAUACAAGUUAUUUUGAAAACGAGUAUCAGCAUAAAGCUGGUGAGUUCAUAAGUAUUUAAUGUGGUUGAGGUAUAAAAUGUGUUAAAACUUAUAGUGUGAAAAGCUGCAAUUUGCUUUUAUAAGUAGUAGAAAAUCCUAGAAAAUCCUAUAUUUUCUAGAAAGUAUAUCGUAUGUGAAAUCCUUUGAGUUGCGUGUAAACUUUAUCAUUGAAAACUUUUAGUUGUAAAAGCAUAGUAGUAAAUCUCAAGUAUGUAGUGUAGAUAAGGAAAAGUUAUGCCUGUUGUCAGCAGUAGUGGUGCAAACUUCCAUUAGUAAUAGAUACUUAGUUACUUCGGGAUGUUAACUUAGACUUUAGUCUUAGUGUAUUAAUGUGGAUAUAAGUGUAUUCCUUUUUAUGUGACCAAUAGUGUGAGAAAUAGAGAGUCCGAUGACCUUCCCGGUCAUACAUAGUGUAGCGAAGUAGUGCUACCCCUGAGCCUAGUCGGCUCGGACUGUAGUUAAUAGUCAGGAUAUAAUAGUGUAUGCCCCGUAUAGAUCUAUACAUGUAGUGUCGCCUUCCUCCUGGAAAGCUCUGGUCACAGGAUGUAAGCGCGGUAGAGUGCCUUAUAGAUGAAUAGUGUGUUAUACUCUAGAUUAGGGUUUUCUCUUGGAUUAUAGAGUAGUAGUCGUUUGUAUAGUUCAUAGAGCGUUCUCUUAUACAUGUAUCAUCUUGUAAUAAUAAUAGUUAUAGUGUGUUUAGUAGUAGCAGUAACGAGUAGUAGUAGCCUUAACUAUACCUAUUAUAGUUAACUUAGUGUGUAUGGUUCUCGACAUUUGUAUAACAAAUGUAUUGAAUAUGAUGAAGACUUUCAUAGCUAACACCAAUAUACAUGAUAUAUAACUAAGAAAUCAACGACAGUCGGACGGAUAACAGAUACCCUAAGACCACAUCAAACAAGAACAGGAAAUAAGGCGAGCUAUCGGUCCUAAGUCCUUCAAGUCUUACUUAUAUAAAUAUAUUAAUGUAGAUACACUUUUUUUAUAAGAAAAGUAACUUAAACACAGUUUGAAAAUAAUUUAAUAACAAUUUAACAAAAAGGAUGCAUUUAGAUAUUUUCUAAAAAUGGUUUUGUUCUCAAAACAAUUUUAAAAAUGUAGAGAUCUUUUGUAAAGCAUAGUGAUAAAUCACAUGUGAUUUGUAUUAUGAAUUGUAAAUAACAUGUGAUUGAUCUCCAUAAAUUGUACAUUUGACUUGUAUCCCCCCCCUAAAACGUGUAAAAACAGUUGAAAAGGUUCAUUAAGGCUAUGAACUCACCUGAAAUAAGUAAAUCGGGUGAAUGUGUCGGAUGAGCGUUUGGUGUCAAGUAAGGACUUGUACACCCUUUAUGACCCUAAUAACAUAUGAGAUAUAUGUUUUACAUGUAAUUAGUGACUUCUACACCUAUUAAAACAUUUAGCCACUCAAAUGUGAUUAAAGGUCUUAUGGUUGAGUGUUAGAAGGUUAAUGAGUUGUACGGGAGGAGUGUAUGACCUCACCUUGGAGUUUACUCUCCUAAAACCCACCAUAAGUGAGUUUACGGUUGGGAUGACACCCCCCACGAUUUUACGGCCAUAAACUAAUAGGAGGAGUGUUUUUGAAUGAUUUCAAGUCUCAAGUGGUUCUAGAAAUGGUUCUAAGGGAUUUUACAAGGCUAUAGGGGUGUUUAGGGGUCUAAGAGUAUACUCCCUAGGAGUUUACGUCCCAUAGGCUACUCCUUAGGAGUUUACGGCCGUAAACCCUAUGGGUUAUGGUAGUAAACUCUCAUACACCCCAUUCCUUGAUUUCUAGGCCUUUGGUUUGAUUUCUAAUAAAUUCUAGUAAAGGUUAUAAGGCCUUUUAGGGGUUUAAACUCCCAUUUUUCAUGAUUUAGGGGAGUUUUAAUGGCCUAAGCACAUGCUUGGGCCGUGAACUCUAUUUUACCCUUCAAAUGUAUGUGUUUGAGUGUUCCAAGUCCAAAAUGGCAAGUCCCUAAUUCAUAUCUUAAGUCUAAGGGUGGUUUGGAUGUGUUUUUGGACAUUUUUGCAUGGUUAGAGGGUGUUUACAGCCUAAGCAUGUGCUUGGGCCUUAAACCCUCUUUUAUACCCUAAAAAUUAUUGUUUUGAGGUUUAAACACUCCUAGGUAAAUUCCUCAACUAGUAUCUAAGCUCAAAAGAAGGAAAAUCGGGACAUUUGGCACCAUUUUAGGUGUUUACGGCCUAAGGAGGUUCUUAGGCCGUGAACUCCUUUUUGAUGGCCAUUUUGUGUGAUUUUUGAGCUAAUGCAACAAUAAAUGAUGUUUAGAACAAGUUAGGGUAGAAGAUCUUACGUUUUGGAGGCGGAAACUUGCGGUUUUGAGUCGAAAACGAGCUAGAGAGAGAGAGAGUAGAGAGAGAGAGUGGAUCUAGAGUGGUAAAAGAGUUCUAGGAAGUAUUCCACCUUCUUUAUAUAGGUCUCGGGUGUUGCACCCGGUAUACGACUACCCGAUGCUAAAGCUUGACGAGGUUUAAACUUUUUACCGGAGUUAAAUGGUCGUAAUAAUAUAACUUUAUCCCAUUAAAAUGGAAAUGAAAUUUACAAGUUAUAUUUAUUUUGUUAUGACUAUAAUCACAUAACAUAUAAAUAAUUAUAAAUAAAUAAAUAAACAUUUAUUUAUUUGACGAUCCCAAAUUUUAACGAAACUUUUAUAAAAUGACAUAUUCCGUUAGUGGAAACGGUUUUAUAUAACGGAAUGAACUUUGGGUUGUCACACCAAUGUCCCAUAUGUCAUCCAUGGGUGAUACCAUCACACCAUAAGCAAUUACCAUGCUGACCAAUGACCCGUAUGUCAUAUGUGGACACCAUAAGGUAAUACCAUGUUAACCAAUCACCCAUAUGUCAUCCAUGGGUGAAACCGUCACACCAUACGCAACUACCAUGUUGACCAAUGACCCAUAUGUCAUCCAUAGGUGAUAACAUCACACCAUAAGCAACUACCAUGUUGAACAAUGACCCGUAUGUCAUCCAUGGAUACCAUAAGCAAAUACCAUGUUAAACCAUGACCCAUAUGUCAUCCAUGGGUGAUACCAUCACACCAUAAGAAAAUACCAUGUUGAUGAAUGACCCAUAUGUCAUCGAUGGGUGAUACCAUCACACCAUAAGCAAAUACCGUGUUGACUAAUGACCCAUAUGUCAUCCAUGGGUGAUACCAUCACAUCAUAAGCAACUACCAUGUUGACAAUUGACCUGUAUAUCAUACAUGGACACCAUAAGCAACUACCAUGUUGACGAAUGACCUGUGUGUCAUCCAUGGGAACCAUAAGCAAAUACCAUGUUUACCAAUGACCCAUAUUUCAUCCAUCGGUGAUAGCAUCACACCAUAAGCAACAACCAUGUUGACCAAUGACCCAUACGUCAUCCAUGGGUGAUACCAUCAUACCAGAAGCAACUACCAUGUAGACCAAUGACCUGUAUGUUGUCCAUGGACACCAUAAGCAAAUACUAUGUUAACAAUUGACCCAUAUGUCAUCCAUGCAUGAUACCAUCACACCAUAAGCAACUAACAUGUUGACCAAUGACCCGUAUGUCAUCCAUGGACACCAUAAGUAACUACCAUGUUGACCAACGACACAUAUGUCAUUCAUAGGUGAUACCAUGACACCAUACGUAACUACCAUGUUGACCGAUGACCCAUAUGUCAUCCAUGCAUGAUACCAUCACACCAUAAGUGACUACCAUGUUGACCAAUGACAUGUAUGUCAUCCGUGGACACCAAAAACAACUACCAUGUUGACCAAUGACCCAUAUGUCAUCCAUGGGUAAUUCCAUCACAUCAUAAGAAACUACCAUGUUGACCGUUGACCCGUAUGUCAUCCAUGGACACCAUAAGGAAAUACCAUGUUGAGCAAUGACCGAUAUGUCAUCCAUGGGCACCAUAAGAAACUAGCAUGUUGACUAAUGACCUAUAUGUCAUCCAUGGGUAAUACAAUCACACCAUAAGAAACUACCAUGUUGACCAAUGACCCAUAUGUCAUCCGUAGGUGAUGCCAUCACACCAUAAGCAACUAUGAUAUUAACCAAUGACCCAUAUGUCAUCCAUGAACACCAUAAAAAAUACCAUGUUGACUAAUGACCCAUAUGUCAUGAAUGGGUGAUAUCAUCACACCAUAAGCAACUACCACGUCAACUAAUGACCCAUAUGUCAUCCAUGGAUGAUACCAUCACACCUUAAGAAACUUCCAUGUUCACCAAUGACCCGUAUGUCAUCCAUGGACACUAUAAGAAAAUAUCAUGUUGACCAAUGACCCAUAUGUCAUCCAUGGGUAAUACCAUCACACUAUAAGCAACUACCAUAUAUAUUGACAUGACCCGUACGUAUUUUAUAUAUAAAAUUUGUCUUAAACAUAAAAGCAUAAAUAUGUAUUGUUUAUGAAUGUUUAAUCCGUUUUAUAAUUUUAAAUUAAAAUUAUACUAUGAACACAUCGUUAGUCGUUGUUCUUUCUUGACGUUAGCUAGAUGUAUAUACCCUAUCUAUCAAUCUAGAACCACUUUAAUAAAUUUGAAUUACUAAAUAUUUAUCGGUAAUUAGCACAAUUCGAAUUUUUCAUUGGUGGAGCUUCAAAAUAUUUUGCAAUUCCUUUCCCUCCAACCUACACACGAUUAAGCUGCAGAUUAGGGUAAGUUUACUGAUUAGAAAUAGGGUUCACAUUUUCUGUGAUCAUCAUCUCCGACGGCUAAUUGAUCGAAAUCUUUGUUCAUUAUAUGUUUGUGCAAUGACUUUGGCGAUAUAGGUUGUCACACAUCCAAAAUUUAUUUUUAUUUAAUUCACUGUUAUUGUGAUGAUCGUUUCUUGUUCUAUGAUCAUCUUCAUGUAUAUUAUCAUCUUAAAUUACAUGUAAAUUGGUUUUAACUGUAUUCAAUAGCUUGCAUGCAUAGUAAUGCCUUCAUAUAUAGUUUAUUUUUAGUGUUGUGUCUCUGUUUUGAUCAGUAGUUUAUCAUCUCUAUUACGUUGGUAUUGACUACAAUUUUUUGUUAAUUUCUAAGCAUGAAAGAUGUCGAACUCGAAAGCUAAAGGAGCAUCCGGUGUGAAGCCAACUAAAUUAAUUGCACCAUAGGUUAUGAAACGCAACAAGAUUUCAGCUGCAAAAUUCAUAAACAGACUAUUACAAGAUGAAGAAAUCAACUUCCUAAUACCAACAACCACAUCGAAUGCACCUAUAACAUCUACCAAUAAAACGUCAUUACCUAAAUCAUUAACAUCAACCAUGACCACCACUUCCUCGACAUCACUUACAACAUCCACACCGUCCUUAGAAAAUGCAUCUAAAACUUCAAAAACUAGAACAAUACAAUCCUCGACACUUACAUCAAUAACCAAAACUUCAUUACCUAAAUCAUUAACAUCAACCAUGACUACCACUUCCUCGACAUCACUUACAACAUCCACACCGUCCUUAGAAAAAACAUCUAAAACUUCAAAAACUGGAACAAUACAAUCCUCGACACUUACAUCAAUAACCAACACUUCAGCACCUACAUCAUCUAAACCAUCCUCAAAACCGACACACACAACCACAUCAUCAACACAUUUAUCUACUACCACAACCUUAAAACCUACAUCUACACUACCAUCCUCCACAACUACAGUAACUACCACACCCUCCUUAAGUAAAGUAACUACCACAUCCUCAGCAUAUACAUCUAUCCCAACACCUACCCUAGAAUAUACCCCAUCAACAACACCUAUCCCAGAAUCUACCCCAUCACCAACACAACCAACCAUGAAUGUAUCUGUGGUGGAAAGUGUAGAAGGUGAAAACAAUUCCUCUGAAGAUUGUGGACCAGAUGCACGUUUAACUGUUCAUGUUUGGAAAAAAAACAUGAGUUACCAUUCAAAUGUUAAUUACAACUUUUUCUAUCUAUAACCUUUUGGUUUACACGUACAUAUCAAUUCAUAGCUUAACAUGUCACAUGAUUACUUGCAGGCUAAUGCCACCGGGCCCUUGUGCACACUUUAUUAGUAAGUCCUUUAAACAAAGAGUGGAUCCAGAAGGUACGCUUGGGGACAAGUAAGCAAAGAAAAGUGUGAAUUAUAUUGGGAGAGGUUUCAAGUAAUUAACUAUAUGUGAUCAUUUGUUGUUUUGUAGACAUGUACAUUUAAACUUAUGCUUAUAUUGUUAAUGUGUAGAAAAAAUGUUGAUGCGAUGAAACAAUAGACUCGCUGGUGAGGCAAGCUUUGGCAAGGAAAGCGGCAUAAAUUUAUGGUCAAUAUCUCCUCAACAUGUGGAGCCCAAAAAGAAACAAACUUGGCUUUAAACCUGCUCAUAUUCCACAGGAUGUCUGGAACUCCUAGCAAUUAAAAUGGAAUAUAGAAGAAUACAAGCGAAAAUCUGAGUAGAACAAGAAAAAUAGGCGUAACGGUGUGGCUGACGGAGUAGCAACACCUACACAUAACGUUGGAUCCGCAAGUCAUUUGAAGAUAGCUUCUGAUUUGGUAAUUUUUUAAAUGGUACAUCGUAUCAAUGUUUAUAUAUGUUUAUCUGUGUAUUUGACACUUCAUAUGGUAUUUAUGCACAAGAGGAAAUUAGGACGUGAUCCAGCAUAGUCAAUUGUUCCUAUAUACACAUACACAAAGAUUCAUGAUGGUGUCACUUUCACAAAUGAAAAAGAUAGACAAAUUCAUGUAAUAAUCAUUUCAGUGUUAAACUUUUAUAUUCUAGCUAGUCCAUAAUAUUUUUCAUCAAUUUGAUAUCUUUUAACUUAUAUUAUUUUUAUUUUGUGAGUUGGAAGCUAAAGGUGUUGAAUUUGAGGAGGACAAGCUAUUUUAUGUUGUUAUUGGUGGUCAUGAUAAAAAAAAGAUUUUAAGGAUUAGGCUCUUUUGCAAAGGCGGUUCCCAAUAGGAACAGUAAAACGGAUGUAUCUUCCAUUCCGGAAAGAAUUAUGAAAUAAAAGAAAUGAGGGAGCUUGUUGCUAAACAAAAACAGCAAAACGAAGAGCUUAAAGAAAUGUUGAACGCCCAACAAGAAGAAAACAACGUAAGGGUCGGGCAUCUUGAAAAAUAACUUCAAACGGCAUUGGAUCUUAUUAAUCUCUUUACAAAACAAGAAUAGUAGUAGCUUGAUAUAUGUUUUUUGCAGAGUAUUUAUUUUAGAUUAGCAACUUUCCUUUUUCCAUGUAAUAAAUAAUUAUUAUAUUAUUUAAUGAUAUAAUGGUUUUGAUUUUUUUGUUAUUUUUGUUUUUCAUAUGUUAUUACACAAAAAAUUGGAUAUAAUUGAUAAAUCAAUUAUCCAUCAGUCUAUAUGGAAUCUAGUAUAUAGUAUACACCACAAAAAUUUCUAGGGAUUAAUGACCACGGAAUUUGCUAGUAAGUCAUCAAACGAAAUUUGCUAGGGAUUCGACACGACAAAAUUUGCUACGGAAUCACCACCAAGGAAUUUGCUAGGAAAUGACCAUCAUGGAAUUUGCUUAGGAAUAAAUAUCACGGAAUUUACUAGGGAAUGACCACCACAGAAUUUACUAGGGAUUCACCACCACGGAAGUUGCUAGGGAAUCACCAACACGAAAUUUGUGAUGGAAUAACCACCACAGAUUGUGUGAAGGAAUCCUACUAUGGAAUACCAUCUACCACGGAUUUCAUUUCAUUGUCACCUUUUUGACGAAAGUAUCGUUUCUGUUGCAAACCCUCGCUACGACGUUUUUAGGGACGGACAUGGGCCAUUGCAAAUUCCAUACCAAAUCAUCUUUUGCAACGGAUUCCUUCCAUAGGAAAAUCACAUUUUUCUUGUAGUGCUAAGGCAUUUUAUUCCUUGUGCUUUUGUUUUUGGUAGUAAUAGUUGGUGGUCAUGGUUGGUCUUUUUGUGAUUGUGUUGUUGUGACGAUCAUUUUUUUGAUGGUAAUCACAGGUGAUGGUAUUCGUAUUCAGUAAGAUGCAGGUACAAAACCUGUUUUAACUUGUGUAACAGAUGUAAAUAUGUAACACAAACCUAUGAAUGAAAUUUUGAUUAAGUUAAAAUGUUGUUUUUAUAACUUUGAAUAUGCAUCUGUUAUUAAGUUACACCUAGAUUUGUUGAUGUUCAUCGUAGGACCACAUGACAAAGUCAAACUUUUUAAACAAACAAAACAUGAACUCCAAUGUUUAUGUUGGAGACAUGGGACAAAAUAGAAGAAUCUAAUACACGACGCUUCUACUUAGGACCACUAGUUAGUCGUUGUCUAUAACCCAUAAAUGGGAAAUAGUGGAAAAGUUCUUUUUUGUUGUUUUUGUGCUUGCCCACUUGGAUAAUUGCCUGGAAAACCCCAAAUGGGUUAAAGCACAUAAAAAUACUAAUUGAAAUGGCUAGAACACCCCUUCAUGGUUACCUACCACAAAUUACUACAAUGCCCUAUUUGAUUAAUUAAUUGAAAUUAAUGAAAAUAAUACCCCUAACGGUAACUUCUUUGAUUGACUAAAAUACCCCUACUUUAUUAACUACUUGAAAUAACAUACACCUAUUGGAUUAACUACUCCGAAUGACUAAACUACCACUAAACAAACAAAGCUGCCCUAAGUAUCUCAAAUGCCUAAACUACCACUACAUGUUUAAAUGUUUGCAAUAACUAAAGUACCCCUAAUGGGUUACCCGCUUUAAAGACUAAAAUAAAAUAUUUCUUUAAUUAAUUGAAAUGAUAAUAAUACGCCUAAAGCUAAAUUCUUUGAUUGACUAAAAUACCCCUACUUUAUUUAUUACUUGAAAUAACAUACACCUAUUGGAUUAACUACUUCAAAUAACUAAACUACCGCUAAACUAACCUUAAUGCCCUAUGUAUCUCAAAUGCCUAAACUACCCCUACCUAUGUAAAUAUUUGUAAUGAAUAAAGUACCCCGUACACACUAAUAUAAAUAACAUCAUAUAUAAUGUAGCUACAUACACGAAUCCAAAUAACAAAUGUUAAGAUUAGUACAGCAAACAUAAAUUCCCUUAUUGCCGACCAUAUUAAUAAUAUUACUUCAUCCACAUAGACAAACAAUUAAAACUAUAAUUAAUCCAACUCCAUUGGAGAUCCAACAAUACUACCUUCACCUUCAACCCUUUUAGCAAGCUUUAGUUUAAGAAUAAUCUUACAAUUUUUCCUCUUUCUUGGUUGACCUGUCCUACACACAUGCCCAACCAGUUCAUUAAACCUGCCUAGUUCCUUAGCUUCAUUAACCCUCACCACUACCUCAGAUUCAUUUUCCCUCACAAAUUCCUCAGCUUGUGGCUCAACUGCAUCACCCAUAACAGCAUCUUCCCCACCCCCUUGCAUAUUCAAUGACUCUUUUACUUGCAUAAUCUUCUCUUUUCUUUUUGACAUUAGUUUUAGGAGGCCUUGGAACAUGACUGCAAGUGGUCUUGUUGUGUCCUUUAUGUUUACAUAUGCCACAAGAAACCUUUUGCCUGACUUUGAAAUCGUUUGUUUUCCAGACCUUUCAGAAGCAUCCCUUAUUCUUUUCAUGGUUAGCUUACCAUUCAUUCUUCUGUUCCAUGGAGGCAAUGGACGUAUUUAGUCUGUUGGCUACAUGUUCAUUCCAUUCAAGACAUUAAUGGACUGUUUGUAGAUAUUAUGGAAGAAGACUCCCACAUAAAAUCGGUCUACAUAUAGCCCAUCUGGUGUGACGCUUAAAUACACUGAUGUAGCUACUAAAUGAACAUAACCAUAACCAUUUACUUUCCAUAACUUUCAACGAAAUUCCUUUUUCGUGACAUCAACAAUGUACAACGCAUCCAUUUUCCUUGUUUCAAACUACAUACCACCACAAGACACAACCUUCCAAUGCCUACAUAAUGUAAUGAAAAUAUUUAGAGUUGAGAAAGGUAAGGUACGUAUGAAUAAAUAAGUGUGCGAACCUUUGGUCAGUUUGGAUAAUAUUCAACCUUGUUCUAAUAUUUCGACAAACAGAGUAAUGAUUCCAUCCUUCACCUGUUAAUUUCAUAGUCACCAUCCUUUGCAUCACACAUAUAUGAAUGUCGUAUAACAUGAUGAUAAUAGGUUUCUUCCUAGCAUCUAAAAUGGCACUAUUAAAGCUCACUAAAAAUCCAUUCUCCAUAGACUCACAAGAUGAAUUGCAAACUCUGAAAAAAAAAAUCCAAUAACCAAUUCUUUAGAUCUCUAUCCAUAAGAUGCAUAAUGGCUUCAGUAUACAACUUUUCAAUCUUUUUCAUGACUAUGUUAAAAUGUGCCUUAGAUGUUUCCUUGCUUGCUAUCCAAAAAAAAUUUUCAAACUUGGCAUGACUAAACUUCUUUUUAACAUUGGUGUGUGUGUGUGUGUAUAUAUAUAUAUAUAUAUAUAUAUGCCUAACACACUUCCUAUGGUUUGCUGCUAUGAAUACUUCUUUGACUGCCUCAACCAAACCCUUCAUAUGUAAUAGGAAUGAGUGAAGUUAGAAAUAUAAAUAUUUAUUAUACUAUGUUUAAUAUUUUAAAAACAUACCUUGUGUUGAUCAGAAAUUAAAAGCCAACCACUUCCUUAAUUCCAACACCGCAAAUAUUAUGAAAUAUUUUCAAUGAGCCAUUUCCAAUUCCCCUUGCUUUCCAUAUUUACAACUUCCUAAGCAAUUGGGAAUAUUCCAUUCUAAGCAUCCCUACCAACAACACACAGAAACUCACCUUGGCGAAAAAUUUUCAGGAAACAGUCGUCCAAGUUAAUGAUCCUUUUAUACCUUCCCCUCUACCCCUCUUUGAUUGUAGCAAAUCGUAUGUAAAUCUGGUGGAAGUAAUUCUUACAAUCAAGCAUUGCAUCCAUAGGAAUUUUAAUAGUGGAUCCAACAUUUGAUCUUUUACCAUCCUCACCAUAUGACCAUAUUCUAGCAUAAUUUUUUGCAACUAUGUCUUCAGCUAGACUAAGUGGAUACUUCUUGGUUCUUCUACACUGACUCAGAAUCACAAUAAUGCCAAAAGUGGUUUUCACCUCCUCUUUAAGUAAUCGGACACUCAUAUUUUGAUUGUUAAAAAAUUGUUGGUUAAAAUGGGUACCUAUCCAUUUAUAAGUGAUAAAUGAUCUGAAUUUGAAAUUCAUUGCACAAUUAUGGUCACUAAUAAGAGACUUGAUUUGGAAAGACUUAUCGUCACUCAUCCUUGAACCCUAAACCAUAAAUGAAGAAUUUCCAUCACAACAUUUGGCUAGCACCCGCCUACUAUCAUUUUUCAGAAAACAUAAUUAAUAACUAUUUGCAACAACAUAGUUAUACAGCAUAUGCUUCAGUUGUUUAGGACUCUCAAACCUCAUAAGUAACAUAGGUUCCUGAUCCUUCCAUUGUAGCCUUUCAUUAAAAAUAUUUGGCAACUCAGGAUAAACAUCUUCAUUGUCAUCCAUGGAUUCUUCCAAAGGCUCACCCAAACCUACAUACUCUCCCAUGUCGACAUCAGGCCCAUUUUCCUUUUUGAAAAAUGAGGGCUACUAAGGUCGUCCUCAUCGUCAUCAGCAUCAACAUCCUUAGCCCCAUGGUUAUCCUUAUCCUCAUCCAAAUGCCCUGUCUGAAAUUCGUUUACUAGUCUUGCACCAUCAAUCACUUCUUCCCUUAUGUUAUCAAUAACCUCUUCUUUGUGUUUAUCCAAGCAUUCCUGCAUCUUACUAUUACCAAAAUGGUCUACAUACAUAAGGAGUAUAACACCACAUUCAUAAGCAAUUACUAUAAACUUGGGAUAAUCCAUCUCAUUGGAAUUUAAGGUCAAACCUUUAGGAAAAUCAAUAUUUGGUUGUCAAUAAUAGAGCUUUUCACACUUUUCUCCAGUAAAUCUUCUGAUAAACUCAUUACACCCGUUCUUUUUUCCCUAGUGUAUCAUAUGGGGUCUUUGGCUAAGACUCCUUGGAAGUGAACAUCGGCUCCGAUGAAUAUGGGAUCCAUGUUUGAGGUUUGAGGAGACAAAAUAAAAUAAGGGUUUAUUGAAUGAUAUGGAAGUGGUGAACACUCUAUGGGAAAAGUACCAUUUAAACUCAGUAAACCUAUGUAAUAAACAGUGAGUGAACAAGUUAAUAUGUGGCAUUAUUUAAUGAGAUGGUAAUGGGAAAUAUACACAGUCAAACAGGCUAUGGAGUUUAAGUAAAAUAUGUGGCAUAAAUAUGACCGGAUGAUCCCUUCAUAAAUGAAAUAAUGAUGUAAUCGACCCCACAAAAUAUAGCUAUGUCCCUCAUAAAGCCACUUAAAAAGUUAAGUGACUAAAAGGGUAAACCCUAGAAAUUUCAUAGGGCGUAUGUGCCAUUUUCCCUUUUUAGUUAUAAGAACUACUUUGAAAAAAUGAGAAUAACCAAACAAACCUAUGAAUCACAAGACCUAUCACACCCAGUGUUGGACUCGGUGCAGCCUAGCUAGAUUUUACGGUUUUGGGGUUUUUGCUAUACGUUUGAAUUUUAGGGCCUAUCUUUACUUUAAAUAUUUUUUUAAUCUAUUAAAAUUGGAUAAUUAAAAUAAUAGGAUAAAUAUACCUAAGUAAUUUGAAAUUAUAGAUAAUUGAUUUAAAAUUAAUUAAUUAAAGUUAACUUAAAGAAACAUAUGAAUCACUUACUGCUUCUUUGUAUGUUGGAUUAUCGUUAACCGAACGAGUUUGAUAGGACAAUGACACAUUAAAAGUAUAUCGUAUAAAGUACUAAAGCAAAAUUCCUGUCUUACUUAUUUUAAUAAAAUGUGAAAAGUUUAUGAGCCAUGAAAAUACAAAUUAUUCCUUAUUGUAUAUUUAUGGAGCAUGUGUGGUUAACCGCCACAAGAAUUUGAGACGUAAGAAGAAGAUGAUGUGGCACUUAUGGUUGCGGUUUGUUAGUGGAGUGUGUGUGGUUUACCAACACAUCAAUAGAGGAACAUAACAUAAUCAAGGGUACCAUGUUCUUACAUGGUUGGUUCACCAUCUUAUUUGUAUGGCCUAUGUAUCCCAUGCACAAAUAGAGGGUGUCCAAAUCUGAGAUUAACAUUCCACUAAAUACUUUUAAUGAAUCUUAAAAUAUCUUGGAGUUUCAUGGAAAUUAAAAUUGUAACGUCCCAAAAACUAUAGAGAGGUUUCUGAUUUUUAAAAUAGAUUAACUAAUUAGAACCUUCAACUUAAAAACCAUAAGUGGCAUUUAUUAGUUUUAAACCACAAUAUUAUUAGAGUUGAAUUACAGGAAAGAAAAAAUCGUUAUCUUUGAUGUGCGUGAACAGUCCUGCUGAGCUCUUCUAACAAAUAACUUACAAAAACAUUUUAUCUAAAACUGUAAGCUUAAAGCCUAGUGAGUUCCCCAUUAUAUCACAUAUUCCAUCAUAUAUACAAUGCAUCCACUCUAUGUUUUUGGCUCUAGCACUAGCCUGCCAAAUAUCCUAACAACAUGCAUAAAACAUACAUAGCAAUCAUAUAUAAUAUAAAAGAUCUACUCCAACCCCGAGUGAACAUUAUGUGCUGAAUCAUAGUCUUAUAGUAAUAUCUUGUCAUAGGCCAAAUCAUGGUCUUUCCUUGCCAUUUCUAGCGGAAAAAUCAUGGUCACAUAUACAAGUAUUAGGAGCCAGAUCCUGGUCUUUCAUACAGUUGCUAAGGGCCAGAUCUUGGUUAUUUAUACAAGUGCUAGGGGUCAGAACCUGGUCAUUCAUACAAAUAUCAGGGGCUAGAUCCUGGUCUUUCAUACAAUUUUUAGGGGUCAGAUCUUGGUCUUUCAUACAACUCAUAAGUCAUAUGUAGUCAAGGAACAUAUAGACACUUAAAUAGAUGAUCCACCCAAGAGCGAACAAUUAGAAAAAAACAUCGCAAUAAGGCAUUAUACCAAGUGUUCUCAGUUUAUCCACCUUAACCUACAUAGAAUUAAACCUAUAAUCUAUAACAUCCUAUUUCAAGAAGUUCUUAUUCCGAGAUUAUGGUUAAUAAAUGGAUCAAUUAAAGACAUUGGACCUCAAGGGAAUAUGAUUUAAACCCUAUUGGAUGUUGGUAAUAUUGAUUAUGUAGUCUAUGCCCUUGGUUUGUGUUUUGAAACCAAAGAUAAAAAUUGGUAAAUUUGUUUAUUAGGCUUAUUGUAUAGAUUACGGUUUUUGGUUCGUCAUGUGUUAAGGAAAAAUUAACUAGAUAUAAGAGUGGGGCUCAUUAUUACCUUUCUGUAGAUAUAAGUAUCACCGAAAACGGAGUUGAAACGAAUAAGUUAUGGAUGUGUGAAGUUGAGGUGGAUUUGGGUGAAAAUCAUUGCCAUAGAGUGGGUAUCAGUGCCCACGGUGUGGUAUUCUCCGUGAUACAGCGAAGCGCGACCAUAGCAUGACAAUCAGUUAGGCCAAAGCUCAUGAUUUUUAGUUUUUUUUAACUUAUUUAGGCAUCAAGUUCUGACCUUUUGGCCAUUUUAUCAGCCUCCAUCACCUCAAGAACCCCUUGGAUAAAACCCUAGCCUCCACCUUCAAGAUUUGAGCUCCUCCUCUCUCCUAUCUCCUCUUUUGAAUGCUUUUGAUGUUACUCUAAAGAAGCUUAAAUGUCAAGAAGGUUUUUUUGGUGGCAAGGAAUGAUUCUCCAAGUUUAGAUCCAUCGAAGAUACUACAUUUCUGGACUACUGUAAGUAUAAAGUUCCAAUAUUACUAUCUAGUUGGUCAGAUUUUGAUAUUUGGGAUUUUUGACACUUUUGGGUCCAUUUUAUGGGUGGUCAUAGAGUUGGGUGGACUCCAACAUCUUUUGAGUAGUUUAGAAUGCUUUUUGAACCUCAUCAACUAGGAAAGUUAUGAUCUUUUCCUUCCCUUUUAGCCAUGUAUGUUAUCUUGGUUCUUUGGGUCAUUUUGGUGUAUUAAUGCUUAGAUCUUGGAAGAUUGUGGCAUUAUUAUGGAUAAAGUUAGAAAAUUUAUCCAUCUAGAUAUCUUGUUGAUUCGGAUCUAAAAGUUGGAGAAUUGGACUUAAUGGAUUAAGUUGAGAAAGGUAUAUUUUUGGUUCCCCUUAAUACAUAAUUUAUAGAUGUUGGUGGUUUGGACCUUCCUAAUGGAUGAAGUUCGAAAUUUAAUCUGUUAAGACCUUGGAAAAAUCAGAUCUGAGCUUUGAAGCUUUUGAAAUCCAAAGAAAAUGGAUUAAGCUUGUUUGAGCUGCUCUAACCAGCCCCGACGACAUGGCGACUGGGGAAUCAGCAACUAUUUUGGCAUUUUGUACCCAUGACGUGGCCAAGGAAGACCACAAUAUGGAGGAAUUUUGUUGGCAAUUUUGACCUUAGCAUUGACCGUUGACUUUUUGACCGGUUUGACUUUUGGUCAAACUUAAGUAGAAUUGAGUAUUUGACAAUAUUGGUUUCUAGUUGGCCUUAGGAAGCGUGGGUUGGAUAUUUUGUUGAUGAGGUAGCUGUUGGUCUUUUGUUGACUAGUUCAGGUGAGUCUCCUCAUAGUAUCUAUGGGUCGAAGGCACCAAUGCUGACCCAUUAGAUUAUGUUUAUAGGAUGCUAAUUGUCUUUAUGACUCUUUCUUGUAUUUGUAUCUACGCUUCGGCAGGGCCUGAUGAAUGUCGAGUGGGCCCGAUGUAUGUACGAUAUGUGGUAUUUUUCGGAACUAACUAAAGUUUGUGCUUAUGGUGUAUGUUUAAAAAAAUUCCAGGUACUUUUGGUUUCAAAAGGAAGGGUUCGGCUUGGUCGCAUUGCAUCCCUUGAGGUCUCAGAGGCCUUACUUGAGGUAAUGCUAGUUGAGUCGUGGGACUCAAGAAGGGAUCGAUUAUGAUGGUCCGCUCAAAGAAUGCAGCUGGAUGCUAAGUGAUUGGCAGAUCGAUUGGGUUGUCAAUACCUACGAUGGGGGUAAUAUUCUUCCAGCUUUCCGUGUUCGGAGGAAAGAGAGAGCAGACAAGUGAUAUUUAGAGUUGGGAUAUAGACCCAGCAUGGGGCUAGAUAGUUUCAAUUUUUGGUGGCAAGUAUGGCAUUGUGGGAAUAGACAAGAGUAUUCUUGUGGUAAGGUUGCCUUGAUAUGAGAUCAAGGAUCUUCUUUCUUUGAAUUUAGUAAGGUUAGGUGCUAGUUGAAUAUUUCAGGUAAGCAUGGAGGUGAAUCUGGAGUGAAAACUUUCAUUGUCUCUGAUGUAUCCCAACUAUGAAAGUGAUGCCUUUUGUAUUUAUGAAUGAUCCUCAAGUUGAAUUGAUGGUUGCGGAUUUGUGGACGAGGUGAGCGGUAGUCCAUUUGUUGCUAAAUAGAGAAUCGUAGCUAUGAAUGGACUGUUAGAAUUAUUCCUUGUACAUCCGCAUGGGAUUCUUGAUGUUAGAUGAUGUACUGAAUGGGAGUUUCCGAGGUUUCCAUCUGAGAUUCAGAAUCUCUUUGAGUUUGCUUGGUCUUUAUCUGUAAGAUAAUCUUGCAUUGUGUUAUACAUUCCAAGGGUCAGGAGCUCUAUAUAUCGGGAUGAGCCAAUUUGAUUUUUGCUAAGUUUGUAAUAUCAGUUGGUGGUAUUUUGAACCAUAAGUGGGGGAGUAAUGGGUAUUCUUGUUGGAGGCUCAUUGAUCUGUUCUAGAUUAUGAUUUCUUUAGAAUGGUUCAUAGGGAUCUUCGGUUCGGGUGUGUGAGACUUGGGUUCAAGAUUUAAUCAAUUCAUGGGUGCAGAUCUAAUUUCCAUCAGAUGUAUCCUCCCAGGAAUUCAUGAGUUAUCUUCAAGGAAGGAAGAUAUUGGACAAGUAUAUCGUUGUAGCCAGUGGCUCCUUUCAUGAAUUCUGAUGAAUUGACCAAAAGGCGUUUGGGUCGCUCAAGUUAAGUAUCGGUUGUUGAGGGAUUUGUUAGUUCGUUGUAAAUACUUAUAUAUAUAGUCUAGGCUGUGCAGUUAUUGAUCAGUAAAUUAGCUUCAUUGUAUCAUUUGUUUAAAUACUUAUGGGUUUUGGUUCAUUAGUGUAUUGGAUCAUUGGAUCAUAUGUCAAUGCAUUCUCGAUCGUUUUUCAUUUCGCUCAUCGUCAACAGUCGAGGCUCUUCGAAUGUCUCGAGCUUUAUCAGUUGAAGUUCAAUAGAUGCGUCAACCUAUUGUCAAACUCUAUAUAUUGUACAUUUUGGUUCUUGGGUAUUUCAACCCUCAAUUUUUGGUUAUACAAGUAUUGUUCGUAGCAGACUGGGAUUGGCAGUUGUCCUUGGUUAUUUUGAGUUCGAAUGUCAGAGCAGUGAAGUUUAGUUUUUCAAGUGUGGCUUUGGAUCUUCACAAGAGGCAAUUUUUGUAUUUCAUGUCGUUAGGUUAGAUUUUUGGAUUGACCCAACCAAGGUUUCAAUAGCAUUUUUUGAUAACCUUGGUAGCUUCAUCGAGCUAGUUACGUAUUUGUAGGAUCUUUCAGUUUCAAUCAAGAUGCGUGUACUUGAUUCUGUCUUUUAUGUGGGUGUUUAUGUUUGCAGUUGAGGUUCAUCGUUUCAAUUACAUUUAUUGGUACUUCACCCUUUUGGUAAGUUUGUGACGAAGAAGGAAUACAGUAGAACUAGGGUUGGUUAUGGGUUCCCUUCAGGGUGUGUGAUAUGGUAAGUUCAUUAGAUAUUGCCAUGAGGAAUAUAUAUCGAGUGAGUAUGACAACAUGAGAACACUUGGCUUGAGUUAUUGGCAUCGUUCUUAAUUCAUUUGUAGCCCCUGAAUUAGAACAAGAGUUCAACCACUUAUCUCAUUCUCUGGCCGUGUGCAAUUAUGUUUUCGUCUAGUUAAGUGUUGGUAGCAGUUUGUGCUGUGAAAGGAAUUAUGUGUUAUAUAAAGGUAUGACAUGUGUUGUGUUGAGAUGGAUAUUAAUUGGGAUACUACAAGUAGGUGGGUUGAUGGUUUAGUACAUAUAGGCCUUUGUGGUGUUGGUUGUGAGUUUUCAAGACAGUUUUGGAAUGACGGCAAGAUCGGUGUGAUACCAUAAGCUUAUCGUCCUAGUGGUUAGAUGGUUUCACGAUGUAUCAUGAACCAGUGGUUGCAUGAUUCAUGUGUGUGGGGCCUGAUAUUCAUUUGAUUGAGUCUCUUUUGACUCAGAUCGCUAGUCCUAUCGGCAUGUUUGGGGGUUAGUGAAUUGUUGGGAUUUGGGACACCCAGUGACUGCUAGUUUGGAUAACGUGGACAAUAAAAGGUUGUUGGGAGUAUUAAAUUUGCAGCAGAAGUCUCUUGCUGAAUGUUUGCAUUAUGAACCUCGUUUUCUUGCGAGAUGUUUAUUGGGAGUUUGGUUACCACUGAUGGGUAUCGGUUCUGAAAUCUCAAUUCCUAAAGUCGGUUGUAAACGACUAAAGUGAUUUUUCAAGUGGAUGAACACCUAAGCUAAUGAGGGAUCUGGAUGUAACGUGAGAUUAUUAGAUUUGCGAUCAUUAUGCUCGUGGGAGCAGCGGUUGGUGAUGAUUUCUCAGGAAGUCAAAUAUGUAUUUAAGGUUUUUAGGCACACAAUUUCCGGAUUCAGGGUUGGAUGAAAUUCGUGAUCGGGAUAUCUUGAGUAUUCUUUCUGCAUGGUUUGGGUGAUGUUCUGAGCCAGGAACUAGGUGUACGUAUGGUAAAUAAAUUAUCGCCAGUCUUAGGAUAUGGUUUUUGAAGCUUAGACUGAUGUGUUCGUAAUUCCAGGAAGUACAUUUGUGGAGUUAGGUUGUGGUUGUAGUUUUUAGAGUUCCUGGUUUGAUUUGGUCAGAAUGGAAGUUGGGUCUUACACUUAGGUAGAGGAGGAUAGUUGUUGCGAUUGAGUAUAUUCAAGUUAUUGAGUUAUUUGUUGGCAUUCAUUUGAUAGAUUCUAACCAAGAUGGAUUUCGAGGACGAAAUCUAGUUUAAGUGGGGGAGAGUUGUAACAUCUUGUUUUGAGAAGUUUCUUAUUUUGGGAUUAUGGGAAAUAAAUGGAUCAAGUAAAGGCCUUGGGCUUCAAAGAAUAGGGUUUAGACCCUAAUGGAUGAUGACAAUAUUGAUUAUGUAAUCUAAGCCCUUGGUUUGUGAUUCGGAACCAAAGGAAAAAUGGAAAAGCUAUUUGAUAGGCAUCUUGCAUGAAUUAUGGUUUUUGGUCCAUCAUAUGUUAAGAAAACAUUUACUACAUAGAACUGUGGCGCUCGUCAUUACCUUUUCGUGGAUAUAAAGAUCGUCAAAAAUGGUGUUGAAACAAAUAAGUUAUGUAUGUUUGAAAUUAAGGUGGAUUUAGGAGAAAAACUUCACCAUAGAGUGGGGAUCAGAGCCCACAACAUGGAAAUCGACACAACAAAGCGUGGAGAAGACACGUCGAUCAGUCAGGCCCAAGGUUUUGAUUUUUUUGUCCAUUUUAUCAGACUCAAUCACCUCUAGAACCCCUUACGAGAAACCCUAGCCUCCACCUUCAAGAUUUCAACUACUACCCUCCCCUUUCUCUUCUUUUGGAUGCUUUUUAUGUUACUUUGAUGAAGUUUAAAGAUGAAGAAGGUUCUUUUGGUUUGAAAGAAUGAUGUUCCAAAUUUGGAUCCAUCAAAUACACUACAUUUCUAGACUAUGGUAAGCAUAAAUUUCUAAUCUUGCUACCUAGUUCCUUAAAUCUUGAUAUUUGGGAUUUUUUUGACUUUUCGGUCCAUUUGAUGGGUGAUCUUGGAGUUGAGUGCACUGUAACAUCUUUUGAUCAGUUUAGAAUGCUUCUUGGAUCUCAUAGACUAGGAAAGUUGUGAUGUUUUGGCUUCUCUUUUAUCCAUGCAAGUUAUCUUGGUAAUUUGGGUCAUUUUGUUAAAUUCAAAUUUAGAUCUUGGAAGAUUGUGGUAUUAUUAUGGAUAAAGUUGGAAACUUUAUAAUCCUAGACAUCUUGUUGAUCAAGAUAUUAAAGUUGGAGACAUAGACAUAAUGAAUUAAGUUGAGAAAGAUGCAUUUGUGGGUCCCUUUAAGACAUAAAGUCUAGAUCUUGGUGGUUUUGACCUUCGUAAUGGAUAAAGUUAGAAACUUUAUCCAUUAAGACCUCGGAAAACUCAUAUAGGUGUUGAGGAGCUCUUGAAAUCAGAAGAAAAUGGAUUAAGCUCAUCUGAGAUGUUAAUACCAGUCCCUACGGUGUGGUCUUUGGCUUCCACGAUGUGGCGACUAGGGAAUUAGCGAGUGUUUUGACAUUUUAUUCCCAUAAUAUGGUUAAGGAAGGUCGUGACGUGUAGGGCUGCUAUUGGCAAUUUUUAACUUAUCGUUGACCUUUAACUUUUCAACCAGUUUGACUUUUCGUCAAAGUUAGGUAGAAUUGAGUAUUUAACGGAUGAUUAUUUUCCUUUUGGCUUUAGGAAACUUGGGUUGGAUGUUAUAUUCCUAAGGUGUUUGUUAGGCUUCUGUUGAAUAGUUUUGUUGUGUCUCCUCAUAGUAUUUGCACAUCAAAGGCACCAAUGUCGGCCCAUAAGAUUAUGUUUGUAGAAUGCUACUUGUGUUUUUAACUCUUUCAUGUAUUUUUAUGUAUCUUUUGGUGGGGCCCAUUAUAUGUGUUGGGCGGGAGCCACUACAUGUUACUGACAGAACUGUACCGGGCGGGGCCCGAUGGAUACUGGGCAUGGCCCAAUAAAUGUUGGGUGGGGCCCAAUGUAUAUAUGGUAUGUGGUAUUUUUAGGAAAUCACUAAGUUUUGUGCUUACAGUUUAUGUUUAAAAAGCUUUCAAGUACUUUUGGUUUCAAAAGGAAGGGUCCGACUUGAUCGCACUACAUCCCCUGGAGAUUUAUUCCAUAUUGACUGUUGUAAUCUUACUCUGACGUUUUCAGAAUAAUUUUAUUCUGAAUGAUCUGUGGGGUAAUGAUCGAAUGGUUUUGACUUAUUUAAAAUGAAAUUUUUACGUAGAAUUUUUUGGAUGUUUCAUAAUUAUCAGAUUAUUAUGCAACAUAGUCACAUAACAUAUACUAGAUUAUUACAUUCCCUUGGCAACUAGCCUUACCUAGUUACCAUGCGAUUGACCACCUGUUAAUUAAUUCCUUCAUUGGUUAGUCAUGAAUAAUACUAUUAACUGGCCUUCCCUAGACACCUUAACCAAACAUAACUCCUACCAAUAUCAUACAAUCAGCUGGCAAGACCUUACCGGUCUAACAUACCAAGACACUAAGUUUUCUAUACUACAUAUUCAUAGCAAGGUGUUAUCCUAGUCAACUAGCAUACUUGUACUCUAAUAGUAACUCUUGUUGGAUAAGGUGUCUAAGUCGAUAACUAUUUCUGGUAUGUACUUGACCCGACCCGACAUGGUCCAUUUGGGUUGCAUGGUAUGUACUUGACCCGACCCGACUGCUUAAUGGGUGUCCACUCUCACCCACCGCUUCCUUGAUCGGUGGAGGGUCGUUAUCCGAACGGGUAGGACAAGGACUUAUAAAUUCUAAUUAAAAGUAUGAUUAAUAUUAUAAAGUAACUGAAUGUUUUAUUAAUUUCCCAAUCUCAGUUUCUUUAUGAAAAUGUGAAUUAGGUGCUAAUCCAUGAAAUUACACUUUACACGUUGUUCAAGUCGUUGGUGGAGCGUGUGUGGUUAACCGGCACACUAAAUUGGACUUAACAAGGUAGGUAAAGGGUUACUUAAAGAUUAUCAUAGUAUCAGUGGAGCGCGUGUGGUUAACCGACACAUCGAUUGAGUGAUAAACUUUAAGGGUACCAAGUGAUUUGCAUGGUUACUUCACACCUCGUUUUGUGACCCUUAGUAUCCCAGUCACAAAACUUGGAGGGCACACUCGAGAUUGAAACAUGCCUUUGAAAAGUUCAUAUAAUCUCAAAAAGAAUCUAGGAAUUUCAAAGAACAAAUUAAAAACCAAAUAUUUAUAUUUCGGUUUUCAUGGUGGAAAUUGGUGAAUCGUCAUUCACCUACCUUUCGAAUAUGUUAUAGAUUAGAUUACAGCACACCUCUUCUAAGUUAUAAUAUAUUGUGAUUGGAACCUAGCCUUAAUAUUACAUUUGGGUGUUUUAUUAACGACUCUCUUUAUAUCCAAACUAAUCUUGUUCUCUUCUUUUUAGAUGUCUUCCAACAACACUGCUUAUGGCUCAAACCCUACUGGCUGCUUUUCCCUCCUGAACCUAUGUGGUAGGGUCAUCUUCGAUGGUUCCAAAUUUAUGGAUUGGAUCCAGAACAUCAGGAUGGUGACUCGUUACGAGGACAAGGAAUAUGUCCUCGAUAAGGAGCUAAAGGAGAUCGAUGAGUCCACUGCUACUCUCCAGGAGAUCGCUAACUUUUGGACUCAUGAAAGAGAUGCCACCAAUGUGGCAGGCAUCAUGAUGGCCACCAUGACAACUGAACUCCAGAAGUCCAACGAGGACUACUACCCUUUUGAGAUGCACCAAGAUAUGAUGGAAAGAUACCAUCAGAGUGCUCGUCAAGAGUGGUAUGAAAUAAUCUGCUCUAUGAUAAUAACCAGGAUGAAGGACGGAGACACCGUCAUGAGCCACAUGCAGAAAGUGCAAAGAUAUGUGGAUCGUUUGCUGAAGCUUAAUGUGAACUUCCUUGCGGAGCUUGCAAUAAAUAUCAUUUUGCACUCCAUACCCUCGCGCUAUGAUCAAUUCCGCAUGACAUAUCACAUAAAUAAGGAAGAAGUCACACACAGCAAACUUCAAGGACUCUUUAAGACCGCAGAAACAUGUCUUAAGGGUAAGUCGGUUGUUAACACUCCUACUCCUACUCCUACUCCAAAUUUUGCCCCUGUCUUGGAACUCGGGAGAGGUAGAGGGGAGAAGAAGAAGAAGAGCUCUUCGAAGGGUACCAAAGCUAGGAACCUUGAUGGCUCUUCUUCAAGUGGCACCAAGAAAGGUUUCGUCACUCCCUCUUCUGACCCAAAAGAGGCUAAAUGCUUCUAUUGCCAUGAAAAGUCGCACUGGAAGCGGAACUGUCCAAAGUACCAGCAAGAUGUGAAGGAUGGGAAAGUUAAACCCAACCAUGCAGGUAUUUACACUAUUCUAUCUAAUAACUCACCCUAUUCUAACUCUUGGGUCCUUGAUACCAGUUGUGGUAUUCAUAUAUGUUAUGAUUUGCAGGGACUAAGAAGAAGUGAGAAUGUGGAGCAUGGAAAGAUAAACUUGAUGAUGGGGAAUAUGAAAACUUCACCUGUCACCAAGAUCGGAGUUUAUUCUUUGUUGCUAAGUAGUGGGUUUACUUUAGAUUUGAAUAAAUGUUGUUAUUCACCAGAAAUGGCAAGAAAUAUUAUUUCCUUUCAUGCUUUGUACAAACAAGGGUUUACCUUUUCUUUUGAUAAUGAAAUUGGUGAAAUAAAUGCUUUAUUUAAUAAUAUUCUUUAUUUUAAAACACUACCUUGUGAUGGUGUGUAUGAAGUUGUAUCUGUUGUAGAUAAUCUAGGAAAUAAUGUGUUGUGUAUUUAUUCUUCUGAUAACAAUAACUUGGAUAAAGCAUCAUUAUGGCAUUGUCGUGUUGGACAAGUGAGCAAGAAACGCAUAGGCCAACUCAAAAAGGACGGAGUCUUGGAGUCAUUUGACCUAAAGUUAGAUGAUAGUUGUGAAUCAUGCUUACUUGGAAAAAUGACAAAGUCACCCUUCACUGGUUCUUGUGCUAGGGUUGAAGGUUUGUUGGAUCUAGUGCACAAAGAUGUGUGUGGACCCUUCAAAUCUGCCACCAGGGAUGCUAAUCGUUAUUAUUUAACUUUGACUAAUGAUUAUAAUAGAUAUGGAUAUGUCUAUUUAAUCAAGCAUAAGUCAGACACUUUUGAAAGUUUUAAAGGGUUUAAACAGGAAGUCGAGAAUCAAUUGGGCAGGAACAUUAAAAUGCUUUGAUCCGAUCAUGGUGGUGAGUAUCUUAGUACAGAGUUCCUCGACUAUCUUAAGGAAUGUGGGAUUAUCUCAAAGUUGACACCUCCUAGGACACCACAGCUUAAUGGUGUGGCUGAGAGGCGCAAUCGAACCUUUUUAAGUACAGUUCAUUCCAUGAUGAGUCGAGCCUCGCUACCAAUCUCAUUCUGGGGGUAUGCCUUAGAGACUGCCGCCGAUAUCCUUAAUCUCGUCCCUACGAAGAAAGUUACCAAAACUCCUCAUGAGAUGUGCACUGGUAAAGUUCCCAAACUAGACCACAUCAAGAUUUGGGGUUGCGAGGCUUUCAUGAGACGUGAGACUCAUGAUAAGCUCGAACCACGAAGUGAGAGGUGUAUUUUCAUCGACUACCCAUAGAAAUCCUUUGGUUACCUCUUCUACAGACCUAGUGACAAUGUGGUCAUUGUAGCAAGGAGGGGUGUCUUGAGAGAGAGAGAGAGAGAGAGAGAGAGAGUUCAUAAGCCAAGGAAACAGUGGGAGGCAAAUUGACCUUGAAGAAAUUCAAGAGUCAAGUGGUGAAGGAACUUCAAAUCCUAGCACCUAACCUGAGGAGGAAACUCCUGUUGAGCCAAUUGACAUGCCUGUACCUAUGAGGCGUUGCACAAGGGUUAGGAAUGCACCUGAGCAUUAUUAUGGUUUCCAUAUUACAACGGAAGGGGAAACACUUAUCAGUGAUGAGACAUUGGUAAGUCUGGAAGAACCUAACAGUUACGCGGAACCCAUGGCAACCCCCGAGUCUACCAAAUGGAAAGAGGCAAUGGACAGUGAGAUAUUGUCCAUGUAUGACAAUCAAGUUUGGAACUUGGUUGACAAUGUACCAGGUCGUAAGACAGUUGGGUGCAAAUGGAUCUUCAAGAAGAAGACCGACAUGGAUGGUAAUUGUACACACAUAUAAGGCGUGACUGGUUGCAAAGGGUUUUUCUCAAACUCCGGGAGUUGAUUAUUAUGAGACUUAUUCACCAGUUCCAAAGAUUAAAUGUAUUAGGGUUUUGUUAGCCAUUGCUGCAUUUCAUGCUUAUGAAAUAUGGCAAAUGGGUGUCAAAAUUGUCUUCCUUAAUGGAAGUUUGGCUGAGGAUGUUUACAUGAGUCAGCCAGAGGAUUUUAUCAGUACAGAAUACCCUAAUAGAGUGUGUAAGCUCGAGAAAUACAUCAAUGGAUUGAAACAGGCACCUUGGAGAUGGAACUUUUGCUUUGAUGAGAAAGUCAAAGAAUUUGGAUUUUCAAGGAGUGAAGAUGAAUCUUGUGUGCAUGUCAACGCUAGUGGGAGUAUAGUUAUCUUUUUGGUAUUGUAUGUGGAUGACAUACUACUCAUAGGAAAUGACAUCCCAACCUUGCAGGAAGUGAAGUCCUGGCUUGGGAAGCGAUUCUCUAUGAAAGACCUAGGAGAAGCUGCCUAUAUUUUUGGGAUAAGGAUUCUGAGAGAAUGGAGUAAAAGACUAAUUGGACAUAGUCAGAUUACCUACUUGUAUAAGGUGCUGAAGAGGUUCAACAUGCAGGACUCCAAGAAAGGAGAGUUACCAUCCAGUGUAACGCCAGACUGAGUAAAAAUCAGAGCCCGAGUACUAAGGCUGAGAUAGCAGAAAUGAGUCAAGUACCUUAUGCUUCUGUAAUAGGCUCGAUCAUGUAUGUUAUGACUUGUACUCGUCCUGAUGUAGCCUUUACCUUGAGCAUGGUUAGCAUAUAUUAGGGGAACCCUGGCAAGGCUCACUUGUCCGCGGUAAAGAAUAUCCUCAAGUACCUAUGGAGGACUAAGGACUGGGUCCUUACCCUCGGUGGGAGUGAUGACUUGAGAGUUGUAGGGUAUAGUGAUGCUAGCUUUCAGACUGAUAGGGAUAAUUUCCGUUCUCAGUCAGGCUGAUUCUUUACCCUAAACGGAGGAGCAAUUACUUGGAAAAGUUCCAAGCAAGAAACAAUGGCUGAUUUAACUUGCGAAUCAGAGUAUAUAGCAGCAAGCGAGGCAACAAAGGAGGCGAUAUAGCUGAAGAACUUCAUUGGAGACCUUGGAGUUAUACCAGCUAUAAAGGAGCCAAUUGCAAUUUUCUGUGAUAGUGAAAGUGCAGUUGCCUUAGCCAAGGAACCAAGGUAUCAUGGGAGAUUCAGACACAUCGAAAAAAAAUAUCAUUUCAUCAGACAUCGAAUAGAAAAAGGACUCCUCGUAGCAAAGGGUUAUCAUCGGAUGAGAGCCCAGCAGAUCCCCUCAAGAAGGGACUGACUCGGGUUAAGCAUCUCCAGCAUGCUCAGAGCAUAGGGCUGAAGAAUGAUAUUAGUUUUAGUAGUUAGAUAAUUUUGAAAUGUGUAAAGUGCAAUUGACAUUUGAUGAUGAAUAAAAGUUGUGUUUAUUUAUGAGUAAAGUGUUGCUAUCUCUUGUCAAUCGUUUACUAUAUUUCUUUUGCUUGUUUUGACUUCCAGAAUAACUAUGUUUGGUAUAUCAUAUUAUUCGAAUCUCCACAGUCGGUCAUAUGUUGGAAGUAGGUAUGAAUCAAGACAUCCAUGAGAUGGUUGCAGAGGUCUAAUUUGUUGGACAUGGCAACAACACUCAUGAGUGCUCAUAAGUUCUGAGCAUUGGAUUCAAACCACGCUCACUGGUAUCACUUCAUGGAAUUUAUCUCGAGUGAUAGUGAGACGGUAAUGUCUUCAAACCUAGGGAUAUGACUUGUUGCCUAUGAGUUCGUUAUGCAUUGAUCGUACGAAACCGCAUUGGUAACUCGAUGUUAUAAAACGUACUUUUGUGUGUGAUUCAACAAGUAGUAGAAUAAACAUAUGAAUUGAGGUUUAUCUGUUCGUUCUUGGAUUAGAAGCGACAUCUGGGCCCCUCGAUGAUUUUGUUUUGACUUGUGUACCGAGCUUGGUCUUAAACGAAUUGAUGUGUUCAAUUUAGUUCUAUGUCAAACAAAUCGGAAAUCGGGAACAAACUAUUGGACAAUAAGUAAGACAUUGUUCCACGUAUUUUUACGGUUGAUAUCUAGAACAGAGGAUUAUAUGAUCACUUAUCUUAAAUGGCACAUCAUCUUCUUUUCAAUUCUGAGAGACCUUGAAAGAGCUACGAUUGCUGAUCAGUUCCUGAAGUCAUACUUGCAGUUAUAGUUAUUUGAUUAUCCAAGUGGGAGACUGUUCGAUAAGGUGUCUAUGUCGAUAACUAUUUCUGGUAUGUACUUGACCCGACCCGGCAUGGUCCAUUUGGGUUGCAUGGUAUGUACUUGACCCGACCUAACUGCUUAAUGGGUGUCCACUCUCACCCACCGCUUCCUUGAUUGGUGGAGGGUCGUUAUCCGAACGGGUAGGACAAGGACUUAUAAAUUCUCAUUAAAAGUAUGAUUAAUAUUAUAAAGUAACUGAAUGUUUUAUUAAUUUCUCAAUCUCAGUUUCUUUAUGAAAAUGUGAAUUAGGUGCUAAACGAGAGAAAUAACACUUGUGGUUUAUUAAUAUAUUAUAAGUUCUAACAUAUUAAUAGUGUUAUUUAAUUAGUAUUGAUUAAGAAUUAAUUUGGAAUUAAUUAAGUGAUCGAAAGAUGACUAAUUAAAUAUAUGGGUUGAUUAUGUAAAUCAUCCAUAACUUGUAUAGUGGGCUAAAAGGCUCCAUGGAUUAUCAAGUUGGGUUAAACCCAUAGGAUGCUCCAUGGGAGUUACAAACCCAUGGGUCAUGGAAAUGAAGAGUCAUGUGACAUUAGGGUUUAGAUGGUGUAACCCUAGAUGUGACACACUAUAUAAGGGACAUGUUAUCUACCAAAAUCGGCUAGACUAAGUACAAGAGAGGGCAAGCUGAUUUUAAGAGUGUUAUACAUUCUCUCAAAGUCAUUCCAAAUCAUUUGGUGUUUUGUGAAGCAUUUGAGGCAUCACACUUGGGGUGCUAGGCUCUGAAGGUUUUCAAGGAAUCAAAUCAACUACAAGGUAUGUAAUUCUAGCCAUCUUUUAGAUUAAAAUUUCCCCAUGUAAGCUAGAUAGGAUUAUGAACCAUGGAAAUCAUAUUUUGCAUGUAUUUUAGACAAACAUAGAUCCAAGGUUUUCUAGGGUUGCAUGUACACUUAGGGGUGUGAGAAUGCCCAAAACCCAUAAACUCUAUCAUACAAUGCAAAGGAUAUACAAUGUGAUACAUGGCAUAGUGAGAAAAUCACCUAAACUGAAGAACCACAAAAGCACCACAACAUUCCCGCCCCUUGAACUAAUCAGAACCAUGAACUGACUAUCACGAAACAUAAAACAAAUUCUCAGACAAAAACCUAAAUUCUCCAAGUUUGACCCAAACUCAAAUGGUCAAAAGUCAAUGGUCAACAAAUGUCAAUGACCACCAAAUAAACCACCACCAUGACAUGGGGACCUCUUGGCUACAUCGUGGGCAAGACAAGACAAAAAAGACGACAUGAUGGAAAUUGACACGUAGUGGACCCUCCUUGGCUACGUUGUGAGCAUGUCUGGACAAAACAAUCACAAAGUUGGACUCCACCACGUCAUGGUUAUUCCUUGGCCUCAUCUUGGUCAUUGGAAGAUUCUAUAAUUCUUCAUUAAGAGCUUAAUCCUUACAAAUCAAGACUCGUAACUUCAUAUCUAAUCCUUCUAAUCGACUUAAUGGAUAAAGUUUCCAACUUUAUCCAUUAAGACCUCACUCCAAAGCAAGAUCUACAACCCUAAGUCCAUUAAUUCCUUAAUAUGUCCAAAAGUUGCUCAAGAACAAAAGAUAGUCCCAAACAUGACUCUUUUCUCAAUUUUAGAAACCUAAUGACCAUUUGAGAGCCACCAUUAGCUCUGGAGUUCCGUAAACUCCAACAACAUCCAUGGAAGGGAACAAAAUCAUCAAAAAUCAACUCAAACUUGGAACAAUAAUGUCAACGGUCAAUGUAUAAACAUUAUACCUUCAAAAAAUAUGAAAUCAGAAGAGAGUGAUGGCUCCAAGCUAGUUCCUUUCUUCCUUGGACCAAUAUAAUCUUCCCCCAUCCUCAAGCUUCACUAAAUCUAAGAAUAAGCUCUUCAAUUAAUUAAAGAAGCUCUCAAUCAUGCGUGGAGGAUAGGGCUUCGAAAUGAGGAAAUGGAGGUUCACGGAAAAGACCGAAUCCACAAAUUAAGAUUCUUAAAUAUAGGAGAAACCCUAAAAAUCAUGGUUUGGGCUGCUACAUCCACCAUAUCAUGGCACACUACUUGCCACGUCGUGAUGUCCAUCAGAACAUGCACACAAAACAUGCUAAUCCAUGUUGUGGCAUUCCAUACUCCAGGUCAUGGAAAAUGGUUUUCCUCAAAAACCAUGCUUUUCACUCCUUCAGGUCAUCAACUAAUCCAUUUUGGAAAAUGGGUUUUCUAGAAACUGGAAUAGUAAUAUCCUACCUAAAUAACUUCGAUGUGUUGACAGCAUCUCUCUACACACCAAAAGCCAAAUAUGGAUCCUAGACAUAGUAAAUAAUAAAUUAGGUUUGAAACUUUUAUUUACAAAAUUAAUAAUACAAACGAGAAUGAAAGUAAAAAAUAAUGUUGUUUAUAAGAUAUUCUACUAAAAUAUACUACUAUAAGACCUACCAAAAUGAUUAACUUGAAAAAUGAUCAAUUCGUAGGUUAAGAACAAUUCACAUUUACGAAUAGAAAGAUCAAGCCUUAGAUAAUAUUCUUCAUUCUUAAUAUUCCACUAACCACUACAUUCUAAAAUUGUUAAGAAUAUUCAUCAAAUAAACACAUUAAAGUGAAAUGGAAUUUCAUUUACUUAGGAGUUGAAUAAUAGUUAUCAACAAACUAACAUUCAAAUAUGAUCAAUUCACUCAGAUUUUGAUAAGAAAAAAUCGGAAAAGUCCAUUAAGGAGGUGAAUGGCAUGUUCAUACUCUUUAUGGCUAACAUGGGCCAAUAAUAUAUUCUCUAAAUUUCAAAUACUCAUCUAUUCACUAUCGUGAAUAGAAUUGUUAAAAAAAAAAAGCCAGUUCCCAUGGGUAAAAGGUGAUUGGUGUUCAAAUACCUAAUUCAUUCCUAAACGUCAAGGACAAUAAGAAGGAUUAUUCGUAGAUUUUUUUUGAUAAACUAUCGUUUCCAAAAUACGAAAAAGAAAAAAAAAUAGUAAAUCUCAAUAUGUCUGAAGGUUAGCAUUGAGAUAUGGAGAUGAUAAUUUGAUCAUGGAUUACGAGCCCAUAACAUCAAAUGACAAUCGUUCUUGCAAAUGUUUCGUCUACAAUCUGAUAUAUAUNNNNNNNNNNNNNNNNNNNNNNNNNNNNNNNAAUACAUAAUACCAUUGGAAUAUUACUUUCGAUCCUUGAGUAUUUUACUGAAGGAUAAAGUACUUAUAUUCACAAGAAUAUGCAUUUACUAAAGGGGGUAAAGGACUAAAGCAAUGAGAAGAAAAUAUAAUCAUGAAUAUAUGGCUCCUUCUACUAUUCAUAGAAUCAAAAGAGGUCUCAUUCUCCUAAAUGUUAUGUCUAUGGUCUUGUGAUUCAAAAAUUACAUAGACACAUUUCAUCAGAUUAUUGUGAUUAUUUAAAUGUAGAAUAUUUCACAUGUUUUGCAAUUAAAAGAAAAGUCAUGAAAUCAAAGAAACUGAUAUGUUACGAACAGUUCAAUAAGGUUCAUUUAAACAUUUAAAUAACAUGUAAUAUGAUGGAAUCAUAUUCGUGGAAUUGAUUUGACUGCAAGUCUUAUGAUAAUUGUUACUCUUAUUUGUUAAGAAAAAAGAUAAAAGAAAUAUAUGUGAUAGUAUGAAAAUCUAGUAGAAUUAGUUUUGACUGAUUGACCAUUCAUACUAUCCACAGUAUGUACUAAUUUGAAUACAUCCAAAAUUAUCAAUAAAAUUCAUUUAUGGAAACAUUUUCUUGAUCAUGUAAACAUGAGAUGCAUUACCAAGCAUCAUGUUGGAUCGUAUCAUGGAUAUGGUUUUAUUUCAGGUCUUAAGAAAAAUUCAAAAGAUUCCUGAGGAAAAUGCACCUAAGAUCAAAUAUUUCGAGCCGGCUUCAGUGGAAAAUUCAGACUUUCUUUUUGAUGCUGCGAUCACAUAAAAACAUAAACUUUGAGGCUCAAUAGCUAAAUACAUGGCAAUUGAAUCACAAGCCGAGAUCAUAAAGAGCAUACUGCGAGUAGGAAGUGGAAUUAAUACAAUGGAUUCAGAAUCAUCAAACCUCUCUUGUUCGGAAGAAUCGAAACACAUCGAAAUGGUACCAGCCGUACUUAAUAAUAGAAGGAUUUGGCAGAAAUAUGUAAAAUUGUCCCUCCUAAAAAGAUUGUUCCAGAAUAAAUUUUAUCAAGAUAGAUAAUGAACACAUUAGUUGGUAAUGAGAAUAUCUGUUAGAAUUACUUCACACUAAUGGACCAUUCAGAUAAACCACAAUACAUAGUAAGACUACUUCGUGUGAACAUGUUUAUUUGAAUAAACAUUGAGGUUGGUAACUUCAAGGUAUUCAGAGUAUUCAUAAAAAAUAGUUGAGAAUCAAUUUGGCAAAAGGAUAUGAUACUCAUAUCCUAGAAGAUUGGUGAG